UCGUGGGGUGAUUAAUGGUAAUGAUAAUAUUUGCAAUAACAAUGUCGUUUUAGAUUGCACCUCUUUGUUUCCGCCGGUAAAUUUUCCAAAGCCGUAUCAAAUCGUCACAAGCCCACAAUCUUCAGGCAACAUUGUGUUCAAAAGAUUGUUGUUUGAUAGCAAGAAGAUAGCAGCUCUAAAGGAGAAGGUGAAUAAAGAAAUAGGUAAAUUUAAUGAGCUACAAGCAACGCGUUUCGGGGUUGUAUCAGCACUCAUUUGGGGGGCCUUCAUUGCUAUAGCCCGUGAAAGAAAGAGGGCAAUUGACAAUAAGUUGUACUCUCAUGCAAUCUAUUAUACUAUGAAUUUGCGUAACAAGUUGAAUCCACCAAUGAUUCCACAAUGCAUGGGUAACAUUUAUCGGCUUGUAAGGGCAGAAUGGUCACUAGCCAAGGAUGAUGCCAUAGAGGAAACAAGUUUAUUAAGAGAAGUGAUCAAAGCAAAGAGAAUGGGAAGAGAAGUGAUGCAUAAUAAUGAGUACUUAGGUUUCAUAAAGGAUAUGAAAGAAACAUGGGAAGAUUCAAGGUCGUUUGGUUUAACUAGUGUGGUUGGAUUGCCCUGUUAUGAAGUUGAUUUUGGCUGGGGAAAGCCUGUUUGGUUUAGUGUCGGGCCGUUGUUAUUAAUUGAUCUUGCUAUUUUAACGAGCACAAGCGAUGGUGAAGGAAUAGAAGCAUUGAUGGUAAUGUUUAAGGAGGACAUGGAUAAAUUUGAACAGGAACCCAGCAUCAUGGCUUAUGCUUCCUCUAACCCCAGCAUAUUUAUAGGGAAGUAGGAACUUAAUUUUAUUUAUCUUGCUUUGAAUAAAAGAGUUUUUGUUUAUCUUUAACUUGAGUAAUGAUGAUAUGCUUGCAAAGUUGGGAAUGAGUUAUUGUACAAUAAUUGUAUCUUAUUUUCGUCAUAUUUCUUUUAAAUAUAAUCAUGCUGUAGAUAAAUACUUUCUUUCUAGAAAACCAACAACCAUAUUGAUGGUUAGGGAAAAUGAGGGGAAAAAACACUGAAUAUGAUGUAGUUAUAUUGGACAAGCAUAGCUGCAUAAAGAUGAUUUUGAUAUAUUUAAAAUGUGAAUCAACUCUGAAUUUGCCACAUAAUGUCAUUUAGUUUUUUUAUUAAGGAAAAUAUUAUCUAUGACCAAGAGAAUCGAGAAGCUUAGUUUGAGUGUAGUUCAGCAACUAGAAUGGAAGACACAAGAGCUUGCUUUGAGUUGAAUUCAGUAGAAGGAGCCUUGAAGCUUAGCUUGUGGCUUUGAGUUUAGUUUCUUCAGCUGGAUAGGAGAGCCUUAGGAGCUUGCUUUAAGUUUAGUUCAGCAGCUCGGCUGAAAGAGCCCAAAAGUUUGAUUUAAGUUCAAUUGAAGAGAGAGAGAGAGAGAGAGAAUAGUAGUGAAUAGUGAUAGGGAUGAAAUGGUAACGUCACCCAAUCCUAAGUGAUGAUGACAAUCAAAAUAAGUUCUAAUUUGAGUUAUUUGCUAUCACCAAUUGCUAUAAAUUAAUAAGCACUGAUAUUUGAACUCCAUCACAACAAUAUUAAGACAAAAAAUGGGGUAAUGUUCAUGUUAUAGUACCGCUGUAGCACAAAAAACGAAAGCACUGUCCAUCCUUCUACAUGUAAGCUAAACACAUGGUUAAAUACGCAUGAUGAAUAAAGGAUAUCAUUUAUCUCUAAUAUGAAUUUGGAUCUAGUGCUACAUUGAGUUGUGCUGAUUUUUUUUAAUAAUAAUGUAUAAAUAAAAUUUAACUAUGUAUUAUUUUUUAAUCAAAUGAUUACUAAUCAUAUUAUUAUAAAAAGUUCUGGACAAUAUUGAAUUCAAAUCCAUUAAAUAUAAUCCCUAACACUUGUGUUUUUUCGAGGUUAAUUAGGGGUUAAUAAUUUUUUAACCUUAUUAAUUGAUAAGAGUACUAGUAUUUACCUAGAAGAAUUUUUUAAUGCAGUAAUAAACCGACAUUAAAACCAUAUGGAUUGCCGUUAGUUGAAAAAAAUACAUUAAAUCCAUUUGAGAUUGCCGUCAAUUAAAAAAUAAUGGAAAAAAAAACACUUAAAACCAUAUGAUUUUACUGUUGAUUUUGUUACCAUUCUGAAACCUUUAUUGGUAAAUAUCAUUUUUCAAUUGAUCAGUAGCGGUGAUCACCUACUAAUAUCUAUAAAAACAAUCAAACCAUUAUUUGCCUCUUCACACUUCUUGCCGUACUACACUUCUUACACAAAAGUAAACACAUCGCAACUAUACAUCUAAUGGGGUAAACACAUCGCCUUUUAUGAAUAGCAAUCAAACUCAUCAAAGACAACUGCUAUUUAUUCCACCUUAUGAAUCCGCACUUCCAUUCACUUGUCAGAUAAAUUUGUAAAUGAAUAGUAAUAUUUGUUCCCUCAAAUUUAUCUCUUUCACGUAAUCUCAUUUAUUUUUAAGAUAAUUCUUGUAAAAAAAAAGCAGAAAUAAUAAUUAAAAAAAUUCUCUUCUCUGUCGUUUGCCUUUCUCUCAAUCUCUCAUCUGCUGUUAACUUCUAUGCUGUUGGAUCAGAAACAUAUUGAACUUAGAUAAACAUAACAAUGGCAAUUACAAAACAUUCAUAAGAUUAGAGAAAACCCAAGCCAUUUUAAAGCACCAUAACAUAUCUCUGCACCAUAGAAAUUCAAUUGUUCACGAUUCAAAAUAAACACCCUUGGAAGCAGAUAUAUUGGGCUAAAGUCAAAAGCAACAAAUGAGAGAGAAACGAAAAGAAAAUUACAAAAAGAAAAGUUUAUUUUCAUUUCAAAUUUCUUAUAAGGGUAAUUUUGUAAAUAAAUGAGUUUGAUUUAAAGUGAAGCCUGAUAAGAUAAUCUCGAUUUAUUGACUUUAAUGCUAAAAGUCAAAAUACAUUAAUGGCAAAUGGUAGACAAGUAACCGGCCAUUUUAGAACAAGCUCUCUAGGCCACUCUCUUCAAAAUUUUUAUAGGGAAAUUUAUAAAAAUAAUCUUAAAAUUUUUAUAAUUUUUAAAUUUAACCCACCCAAUUUUUUCCUAUCAUAACUAGCCAAACAUCUUAUUUUUUGACUAAAUUAUCCUCAUCAAUUUUGUCAAAUUUACAAAGGUAUGCCACUUGAGAAAUUCCAACACAACUAAAUGCUUUCAACCCUCAAUAACUUAACAAACCUUCAUCACUCCCAACAAACUUAAUCACUCUUAAUAAAUCAAAAAAUUCUAUCAAACAAGCAUUGCAUAAUUGAAGAUAUAAUCAACUACUUGGAGAGCUUCUUAAGGUUAGUGUAUGUUCUUACACUAUAUAAACUUUUAAUAUAUUGAUUUUAUCGACUAAGUUCAAAAUUAAAGUGAAUUUUGCUGCCAAUGUUAUUACUUUUCAUUAAUAAAAACAAAGUGGAUGGUUAAAGUUCUUAGUUUGAGUUGAGAAAUCAAGAUAAAUCAUUGAAAAUACUAAAAACUCGAGUAAAAAAUAAAACCCAAAACAAGUGAGACAUGCUAAUUUAGUGAGAUAGACAGUGGGACAGGUGCUUGUUUCAUAUAAACUCGUUGUGUUUAUGUGCGAUAGACACCUGUCCCACUGCCUGUCGCACAUAACUUGGUGAGACAGGCACCUGUCCCACUUGUUCAACAUGCUUGUCUCACCAAAUUAUGCACAACAUGUAGUGGGAUAGGUGCAUGUCACACAUAAACCCAUUGUGUUUAUGUGAGACAGGCACCUGUCCCACUGCCUGUUUCAUAUAAACACGCUUGUCUCACUAAAUUUCAAAUAUUUUCCGAAAGUCAUAACUUGAGCUACAUGUUUCCGUUUUAGGCUUAUAAUAUACCAUUUCGAAACUUGCGACAAGACAAAUCAAAUGCAACAUCGUAGACUCCAUUCUAUCACAUGGUCGAUUCAAAAAUUUACCUAAACUUAAGUGCGAUAGGCAUCUAUUGCAGCUAAGGGUAUAAUCACAUUAAUUGUGAUUAAUUGUGCAUAAUAUAUUGCUUCGACAAGUGUCCUGUGGUGAAAGAAAAGAAAAAUAUCAGUUAUGGUUUCAAGUUGGUGAUGAUUUGAUACGCUUAUCGAUUGGAGAGCAGUACCUAGUAACGGGACUUUGCUAUGGCAAAGAUGUCGUGCUGAAGAAGCAUAAAACAAUGCACAUGUUACUUAAGAAGUAUUUUGGCAAUAUGUGAACAUGCACGAUAGAUUGUGUUAUUAGACCUCGACGUUGUCUUCAUCGUCAUACUAUAUUCGUUAGGAUUUAUCUAAAAAACUUCAUACACUCAUACUAGAAAUUGAUCAAAAGUACAAUCUUUCUGAACUAAAAAGGUCGUAUUCUUGGCAUUCACGUACUCCAUACGGUCAUCUGCCAACGUCUCCCACCAAUCGCCGUAACAUAAUUGAAGCACAAUUGAAUCCAUUAAACCUAAAAAUUAUUAAGAAAACAAAAGAAAUAAGACUAAAUGAUACAAAAUAUGGUAAAGUGAAUAUGCACCACAUUUAUAUGGAUGUCGUACAUAAUGUGAUUAUGCGCUUAGAUGCAAUAGGUGCCUAUCACACUUAAGUUUAGGCAAAUUUUUGGUUCAACCAUGUGAUAGAAUGGAGUAUACGGUGUUGCAUUUGAUUUGUCUCAUCGCAAGCUUUGAAAUAGUAUAUUAUAUACCUAAAAUGGACACAUGUGACCCAAAUUAUGAAUUUCAAAAAAUAUCUAAAAUUUAGUGAGACAUGUGUGUUUAUGUGAGAUAGGCAGCGGGACAGAUGCCUGUCUCACAUAAACACAGUGGGUUUAUGUGCGACAAGCACUUGUCCCACUGCCUGUCGCACAUAAUUUGGUGAACAUGCAUGUUGAACAAGUGGGACAAGUGUCUGUCUCACCAAGUUAUGUGCGACGGGCAAUGGGACAGGUGCCUGUUGCACAUAAACGCAGCGGGUUUAUGUGAGACAAGCAGCUGUCCCAUUGCCUGUCUUACUAAAUUAGCUUGUCUCACUUGUUAUGUGUUUCAUUUUGUGCUCGUGUUGUUAGUGUUUUCAAUGAUUUAUCUUGAUUUCUCAACUCAAACUAAGAACUUUAACCAUCCACAUUGUUUUAGUAAUGAAAAAUAAUAACAUUGGUAGCAAAACCCACUUUAAUUUCGAACUUAGUUGAUAAAAUCAAUAUAUUAAAAGUUUAUAUAGUGUAAGAGAAUAAACUAACCUUAAGAAGCUUCCCAAGUAGUUAUCUUCAGUUAUGCAAUGCUUGUUUGAUGGAAUUUGUUGAUUUAUUAAGAGUGAUCAAGUUUGUUGAGAGUAAUGAAGAUUUGUUAAGUUGUUGAGCGUUGAAAGCAUUUAAUUGUGUUGGAAUUUAUCAAGUGGCGUGCCUUUGUAAAUUUGAUGAAAGAGAUGAGGAUAAUUUAGUCUAAAAAUAGGGUGUUUGGCUAGUUAUGAUAGAAAAAAAUUGAGCGGGUUAAAUUUAAAAAUUACAAAAAUUUUAAGAUUAUUUCUAUAAAUUUCUCAAAUUUUUAAAUGGCUAUUUUACCGACAUUUGGAAGCAAUGAGUCAAGCUUCCAUAAAUGCACCUUGACUUCAUUUCAUGCAUGAUGGCAUGCAAGACAAAUUUGGCUCCUUUAUUCAUCACGUUGGCAAUUAUCAUGCUCAUUUGGUGGCUUAUAAAAGUCAAGAUUAUCAAGCUCAAAUGGAGGCUAUUUCAGCGGAUUUGAUCCAAAUUAUUUGACAAUUGAAGGCUUACUUUGCCUUUAGACAGAGAGGGGUCUUGGAAAUGGAAGCUAGAGGAGUUGGAGUGUGAGUGCAGUUCUCAAACAAUUUAAGAACUUAGACUGAUUUGUGAGAAGUAAUUCUUUAACAUUUAAAAGAGUUAAAGUGUUCUCGAGUGAUUUGAGAGUUUGGGUGUAUUGAAACUUUAGGUUAUGAGAUAAAUAUUCAAUAUAUGUACUUUAUAUUUUUAUAGUGAAAUAUUCUUUUUUGUCUUCGCUUAUUGAAGUAGACUAAAACACUGAACUACUAAUGUCAUUUGUUUUUUGUUGCGAUAUAUAUAAUCUUGAAUUGUUGCAAUAGAUAAUUUGAGGCAGUCAAAUAUCAUCACUCCUUUGCAAAAAGUAUAAAAAAAUAUAAAAGCACAAAAUAAAGAAUAUUGAUAUUUGAACCCGCAUUUUAUCUCACUAACUCCACCUUUAAUUAACCCCACAAAAAUAAUGAUAUUUAAACCCACAAUGUAUCUCACUAACUCCAGCUUUUGAUUCUCCCCAUUUAUUUCUGGAAUUGCCCUAUUUAUCAAAAUUUUUCCCGAAUUUUUAUUCGCUUAUGAAGCAUCAAGUUUUCGAGGGCAAAAUAUGUUUAUGCUCAUCGUCAUCGAAGGCAACUUCAAUUAAAAGUCAUCAUUUUGUCAACUGCAUCAUAUCUUUUUGUUCAUUCCAGCUAUGACCAUCUAAUUCGGCAACUCCUUCAGCUGCCAUGCAGUUGACCAGAAAUGUAGAUGUUAUUAGCAUACCCACCCGUUGCAUGACUUUGUGAUUGUGAAAAAUCACACUAUAAAAGGCAUGAUCAAACAGUUUCUGACUCAAUCAUCAGCCAUCCAUGGACGAUUGACUUGGCCAGAUAAAUAAUUUUCAGGCUCUGUAGAUAAUGUUUCUGCUUGAACACAAGAAUAUGCAUAAAUCAUUCAUAAAUGAAAAUGUAUUGCUAAAGAGACUAAGGUCCCAUUUGAGAUUACCGUUAAAAUGUUAUAAGCUAUUUAUUUCAUAAGUUUUGAUAAACAAGAAAAAAAAUUCAGUAAAAAUGUGUUCAAUAAAUUUUUAAAAAGCUACUUAUUUCAUAAAUUUCUCCAUUUUGACAAUAAUUUUUAGAAGCAGGUAAAAGGUUGUUUUUCAUAGACUAGUUACUAAAUAAGCCAUCACAUCUUUUUAAAGCUUCUAUUAUAAAUUUAAUAUUUUAACAAAAUGACAACUAUACAAAUAAACGAUAAUCUAAACAUAUGUCUAUUUUUAUCUCGUUUUAAAAUUUACCAAACUCAUAUGAUCUAUUUUUCAAAUUCAUAGCAAUGAUAAUAACACAAUUUACAAAACACCAAGCUAUUAUUUUAAUCAGUAGCUUAUUUUCAUCUACAUAAUAGAAACAACUUAUUUCAUCAGUUAUCGUAAUCCCAAAAUGGCGCUAAGUGCAAGAAAAUGAUUAUUGAUGAAUUAUUUACUUUCCAAAGUUCUGUCGUCUUUUUCUCUUGAAUUUGAACAAGAGUCAGGGGUAAAAAAAUGAUAACUAAGGUAGUUUUGCAAAAAGUGAGGUUUAAUUGAGGGGCUAAAAAAUCAGUAUUCUCACACAUUACACAAUAGAGAUACAAUAAUUUAAUGUGAUUUAUAUUGAAUUGGCUGUAUACUAAUAAUUAGUAAAUUAUAGUUGUUCAAGCGGCAAUUUCAUUGUGUUGUAUAUUAGAAAAUAUCAAGGGAGCAAGAUAAUCAUGUAUGUUUCUCACAUUUACACUUAGGCCCCUAUUUUUUAAAAUUUCUCAGUACAACCCAUAUGUUAAAUAAACUGUAAUACAAAAAAAAAAAUUGUAUUCUUUUCUUAUUAUAAGUUUUGUUCUCAGUCAAAUAUAUAAUUUACACGGUAUUGAGUUGUUGGUCUUUUUCUAUCAUAAGCUCAGUGUCACUAAAGUCAAUGAUGUGGCUUGAUAUUUAGAAAUUAACGCCCAUUGCUCCUAGUUGUAAGUUGUUGGUUUUGUACAUGUUAACAACUCAUUUUCUUUUAACUAAGAAUUUUCAAAUUAAAAAGUAUAAAAGUUGUGUAUAUAAUUAAAAAAUAACGGGUUAUAUUCAUACUAUGAUAGAUGAUAAAUUAUUUUAAAUAUACAUAUACGUGGGUUGUCUAAAGACUAAAGGAGCAAGAGUCUAGCCUAAUAGUAUUGUAGUAAUAAUUUGAGGGGGAAAAACAUUACACUGCCUUGUUAGAUAGAAUUAGGCUAUUGCUUGAGAGAUUGAAGCAACAAGCAUUGUCCUUAAUUCUAGCCAUAAUUCCUAACCGUGCAUGUAGCAUUAUUUAUAAUAAUUAUUUAGUGAGCAUUGUCCAAUAGCCCAGUUCCAUAUUUCGUAUAUUCACUUCACAACUAAUAAAUUCUGUUAACAAGUAACCAUAGAGUAAGAUAUUUGGUAAUUGUCAUGCCACUAGCAUUCUCCUGUGAAUUUCCAAUAAUAGCAUCAUAUCUCGUUAGCGUGGUUUCAAAGAAAUAUUGACAUAGCUAAUCCAAUGUCUUAAAUACUUAAAAUAGCAAAACAAAAAGCUGAUGAUUCCUGCAAACAUCAAUCGAACGACGGAGAAUUUGUUGAAAAUAAAGAGAAUGAAAUAAGGUUUAGGUAGGGAGACAUAUUCAGCGUUACUUCUUGAAGAAUUAUACAACUAAAAAUAUUUUUAAAAAAAGUCGAUAUGAAAAGCAACAAUUACCUAACCCUUAUUAGUUGGCUCUGGACACGCGGAAGUUGUUGACGAGAAUAAUCAGAGAUAAUAGAAACAAAAUUAUAAAUCAAAAUGAUUGGUUAUUGUCUCCAUUUUUAUAAAUCAUUUAAAAUAUUGAUUAAUUGACGUCAAGAUUGAUUGACUCAAAUCUUUAUAAAUGAAAAUAUUACAUCAGUUGUAUAAUUUUAAUUUUUAUUUUUUCAUACAUUGUGUAAAUUCAGCGUUUAUGUUCCUGGAAAUUUAGUUUAUUCAUUUCAUCAAUUGAUUACUCCAGUAUAAACGAAUUAGUUUAAAAUACUUUAGAUUCUUUUAAGCAAUGGACAUAUGGGGCUGUUUGUUUGUUUGUUUUUUCUAACUUCAUGAUUUAAUUGACUUAAUUUCAAUUAAUUAAGUCAUUGAGAGGGCGUUUGUUUUCUAACUUAAUGAUUCAAAGUGACUUAUUAAUUAAGUUAAGUAGAGGGCGUUUGUUUUUAUAACUUAAUUUGAAUUUUUAAAUAAUUUUGACUUAAUUAAAAAAGUUAAUUUUUUUUUGGGUUUUUAUGACUGGAGAAGUUUGAAUCAGCCAAUUGAUUUCUAAUAUUAAAAAUAUCUCUAAUUUAUUAUUUAUUUUUCAUGCUUAUCCUAAAACACACCCAUACAUGUUUAUCUACUAAUAAUCUCAUCUUUAUUUUUUCCAGCUGCUAUGAAAUCCCUCCCUACUUUACUUCUCUCAUCAAGUUCUUGAAUUUCUCAUUAUCGUUAAUAAAAGAUUUUAUUCUUAAAAUUUUUAUGUAAUUAUAUAAUCAGUUUUUAUUAAAAAAGAAAUUUAUAUGUUAUAAUUUCAAAAUAAUUAUAUAUAUAAAGCUUAGGAAAAGGAUACAAAACUCUCUAAUGUCUCAAAAAAGACUUUUAAACUCUAAAUUAUUAAUGGAUUCAAUUUUUUUAAAUAAUUUAAAGGUUAAUAUGAUACAUUCCAUAAUUAAUAAUGGGUGAUGAUAGUUGAUGAAGAAGAAGAAGAUGACAUUGAAUAAGAUGAGCAAUUAGGAAAAAGGAGAUAAUAAACUGAAUUUCAACAGUAAAAUUCCAACCAUUAUAAAUAAGGGUGUGUUUCUAAUUCUAUUAAUAAUUUAUGGGCAAAAUGGAUUAGUCAAUACAAUUACUUGUAUUUUAGAGGAAGAUAAUGGUAAUCAUAAGUUGAAAAUAAUUUUUCUUGUUAAAAUUAACAGAAUCCAUUAACAAAUUGGGGGUAAAUGUUUUUUUAAACGUUAGAGAGUUUUGUAUCCCUUUCUAUAAAGGUUUGGGGUGUAUCAGUCAUUUUCUCUAUUAUUUCCUUGACAUUCGAAUUUAAUAAGGAUACAAAUGUAAAAGUACACAUUUUUAGUUUUUAAGUUAAAAAAAAAACUUAAUACUUUUUCAAAGAUUGAAAAAAAAAUUAUUUAAAUUCAGACAUCCUAGUCUAUUAAAAUUUCAUAGUAGUUCAAGUCUAUUUAAAUUUCAAAUAAAAAAAUUCCAGCUAAAUCCGUUUGUUUUUUCAACAUAAUGAAAAUUUUUAGUUAUUAAGUCAUUAAGUCAUUAAGCCAACUUUUUAACUUUUUGCUAAGCAAAAAAGAUGCCAUUAAAAUAUAUCUUCCAAAAUAUCCCUAUCUAAUUAAUUAAUUUUCAUCCUUACCUACUUACCUAAAUAAAAUUUCAUCCUUACCUAAAUAAAAUUUAAUAAUUAACAUUAUUACCCAUCUCUAUAACUUGUGAUAAUAUAGCGGUAGGUGACUAUUAUUUUUAUCCUUUUAUUUUCUUCAAAUUAGCAUAAUUAAUCUUCAUGAUUUUUUUGAAUAUUUUUUUAUAUAAAAAUAUUAUGAACUACAAUUAAAUUGAUUAACAUGUACUAAUUUAGAGUAUAAAGGGUUGUACUCAAUUAAACAUGAUUUAUGUUAUGGUAGCAUUCUAUUUUAUUUAAGUUCUUUGAGGUGUUUAUUAUUUAUUUAACAUUUUGUAAGGGCACAAAUGUAAAAAUAUCAAUUUUCAAAUUUUGUAAGUUAAAAAAAUAAACGACUUAAUAUUUUUUUUUAGCAAUUCAAACGAAAAAAUAUCAUUCAGAUUCAAACAUCCAAUUCUAUCACAAUUUAUACUAAUUCAGAUUUACUUAAAUUUUAGAGAAAAAAAAAAUACUUGUUUUUACACUUAGAGCUAAUGUAUUGUCAUAAAUAGAAUUCUCACUAAAAAAUCAGGUACAGAUUGAAGAUAUUUAAACUUUAUGUUAAGUCCAUUAUUUAUAGAGUUGACAUUUUAUGGCAAGUCUAAUUAAAUUGGAAGUUUAUUUAUUGCAUAUCUUGUAAUAGGGAUUAAUUUAUUAAUUCCCUAAUUUAGUGAGAUUCCAAUUUAUUAGGAAUGUUUGUUUCUUAAUUUAAUUAAAUGUCUAUUUUAGCAAGUCAAUUAAUAGUGGGAUUCUAUAAUUGGUGCAUGAGAUCUAUUUAGAGUAAGAAGUUGGUUCAAACAGAAAGUCAUUAAAUGCUCUAGAUAUUUCUUAGGAGACAAGUAAGGCAAGAAGAUCAGAUUUAAUCCUAUUCAGAUUCAUGGGAAUUAUAAGAGAAAAGAAACUCUUAUUUGGAAAGAAUCCAAAUCUUUUAAGACUUGCUAUUUUGGUGAAUCCCUAGUGCCUAUAUAAAGAGAGGUAUUUCACAAUUGAAGUUGGAUCGCACAACACAAAGUAUAAAGCAGAGAAGCAAAAUUUGGCCUCCUCCCUAGAGAAUCCGGAUUUGGCGCAUAAUGUUGUGUUGAUUUGUUUUCUUACCUUUUUUUCAUCUAUGUGGAGAGUCUAUGUGGAUCUUGGAUCACUAGACAUUGAAGAAUUAAAUAAUUGCUAUUGAUCACUUUGCGAAGUGCCUUGAAGAUCGUGGAUCAAGAGGGGUAGCAAUUAUUCAAGAGAAGCAGAUUCAUUCUAAGGUUGAGUAAAUUGUAUGGUGAUAAACUGUAAGUGAAAGUCUUAAGUUUGGUAAAUUCAUAGGUUGUAAUAUCUCAACUUAGUGAAUUACUUUUCAUCUUGGCGUGGCCUUGUGGAUGUAGGAUUGAUUAAUCCGAACCACGUAAAAAUCUCCGUGUCAUUUAUUUUCUGCAUUUUAUUGUGUUUUUGAAAAAUUAAUAUUUUCUAUGCGGAUGAACAGUAAUCGGAAACAGUAAACGUAAAUAGUAACUGUGAAUAGUUGCGGUGAACAGUAAUGGUGACCAGUAACAGUGAAAAGUACUUCCGAAAAAAUUAAGUAAUUAAUUUUUUAUUUUUAAUUGCCUACUUCUAUUGUCGAUAGAUCUAAAUUCUUUUCACUUUAGAUUUUGAAAUAUCCAAAGAUUAGAGACCAAAUUUAUUUAUCAUUAAUGGCAUAUAUUAUUAAGCAAUAAUCCUAUGCAAACAACAUCAUCUUAUUUUUAAUGAGUCAAAUGGAAUAGAGCAAUGAGCUUUUCGUCAAAUGGACCAAUCAGAUUAUUCCAAAAUGAACAAUGUAGAUUAAUUAAAUGAGUAAUGAUACAGUCACAAACUCUUAUACAAACUUAUCUUGUACAAACGUAUGUGAUGAGCAUAAUUUAUAUACAUAUUUUACCGUUUAUUAUCUAAUUACUAGUUAUUUUUAUUUGAUAUUUUUUAAUUUAUUGAAUUAUUUUAUUGCAUAAGAAAUUAAUUGGAGAUUGGAAAUAAAAAGUGUAAAAAUAAUAACAAUUUAAGAGAAUAUCAGUUGAAGCCGUGACAGAGUUAAGAGCCAAGAGCAAUUUGCAUUGAAUUUCAAUUCUCCAAUUGAGUUGCACGUGCAUGGCAUUGCAAAAGUGGAAAGCAAUUUAAAUGGGGCCCACACUGGACUUUCAAAAGUGGAAUUAAUGGCUUAUGGUGGCGUUAUUAUGGAAGCUUUGUUUUAUAAUUGGAAAAGGAUUUUAAUUAGUAGACAGAGGAUUCGGUGGCUAAGCAUUAUAAAAAGAGAGUUUUGGCUUUUGAAUGGGGGGCCGCCAGAGGACAAAAACAAAGGUGCAGACGCAAGGCUGGAAGAGAGCAUUCGGCAGCAGCAUCAAUUCGCCUUCCAUGACUGAUUUUAUUUCUUGUAUUGCUCUCAAUUCAAGUAUGUCUAGUUAAUUUUUUUAUACUGAGGUUAAUGAUAAAAUCUUGUUCAAUGAAAUAAUUAUCUUUUUAAUUCCCUAUAUAUGUUCUUUAAUGAUUAUGAUUUUUAUUUCACAUGAUUAAUUGGAUGUUAUUAAAAUCUUUUCAUUAAUUCUGUCAUACAUUAUUGAUUGUUAGGAUUAAUAUUUGAUUAAAUCUAUACUUGGAUUUAUAAAGUUUAUACAUGAUUAUCUUUGAUUCUAUGUCUUUUAUUAAAUUGUUUACAUGGAGUGCUUAGGAAACUUUGACUCUUUGUUAUUCAAUAUGUUUACAUGAGCUUCUUAGAAGUCAUACUAUUAAGCAGAAAAAGAACCUACACAAGAUUAAUUUUAUUUGGGCUUAAUUAUUAUAUCUAUGAGAUGACAUAGAUUGAUUUCAAGUUGUCACUCUAAAAUUGGGGAUUAAUUAAUAAUUAGAUAAUUACUAGUUGAAUAGUGGUGGAUUCUAAAACCUUGGUAAUUUUUGUCUUAUUGAAAUUUCAUUUACUUUAAUUGUUUUCUUAGCUUAAUUAGUUUAAUUUCUCUUAAAACUCAAUUUGCUCAACUAGGUUAGAAUUAAUACUAAUUUUAGAUUUAAAUUAGACUUUAUAACAAUCCAUGUUGGAUCGACCUCGUUACCACUAUUCUAUCUCUAGAUUCGUGCGCUUGCGAGUAUAUUAAAAUUUUCAUAAGUUUUUGGCGCCGUUGCCGGGGAUUGUGCUAGAAAGUCAGUUUAAUCUAGGUUAAUUUGAUUCUUCCACUAGUUAUAAUUUAGGCUGUCUUUUAUUUUAUUUAUUCAAAUUUUUAUUAAAAAAUACAAAAAUUUGUUUAAUUUUGAAUUUAUUGUUUAGUUGUUUGAUUUCUUUUAUUUUAAUUUUGUUUAUUUUAAUUAUUGUUGUUUUAUUUUUCUUCUUUGUCUAGUUAGUUUAUGAGUGUUUGGGAACGUGAUUCAACAAAUUGUUUGGUUAAAAGAGAGUCGAAAAUUGAUAGUAGUCAAGUUAGUUCUUCUCAAGUCAUGGAUGACCUAAAUAGAUUAUUGCCAGUACUACCACCAGUGCAAGCAGAUAAAACCCUUAGAGAAUACUUUUCACCACUUGUGGCCAACCAACCAUCUUGUAUUGUGUUGCCACAAACUACAGCGACACACUUUGAACUUAUGCCCUCAGUCAUUCAACUUAUACCAUCUUUCCAUGGGUUAGAGAGAGAGGAUCCAUAUUUGCACAUUAAGGAAUUUCUUGACAUAUGCUCUACAUUCCGUUUUCAAAUUUUUAAUGAUGAGUCAAUUAGGCUUCAUAUGUUCCCUUUCUCAUUAAAAGACAAAGCAAAAGCUUGGUUGAAUUCGCUUUCUGCUGGGUCUAUUACUACGUGGGAUGAAUUGAAUAAUAAGUUCCUCACCAAGUUUUUCCCUAUGUCUAAAGCAAAUGCCCUUAGGAGAGAGAUGAAUGAUUUUUAUCAAAGAGAGGGUGAGCAAUUUUAUGAGUGUUAGGAAAGAUUUAAUGAUUUACUCCUUAAGUGCCCCCACCAUGGUUUUUAGAAAUGGAGACUUAUACAAUGCUAUAACGAUUUAACCAUGUCGAAUCGUCAUAUGGUAGAGUCUAUGAAUGGUGGGAGAUUUUUGAACCUACAUGAAGGGGCUGCAUGGGAUUUCUUUAAUUCACUUUCUGAGAAUUCUCAACAGUGGAAUUUUUCAAACCAAAGGGAAAAAUCAUCUCAAGUUUCUAGAAAGGGGUUAUAUGAAGUUAAGGAUGAUUUUGACGUGAAAUCCACUCUAGUUACACUUUCUAGAAAAGUAGAUGCCUUAGCUCUGAACCAAUCAAUGAAUCAUCACCCUAGUGUAGCUAAUGAGGUUUGUGCUAUUGGUUCUAACUUGUUUCAUACAAUACAGAAUUGUCCAUCAUUACCAGUCUAUCCAGAGGCUUAUUCUGAGUAGGUACAUGCCUUAGCCCAAACAUAUAUAAAUAGCUAAAGCACAAGUCUGCUGUACGGCCAAGGCGGAUGUACGGUACAGCAGGGAUACACUUCAAAGUUUCAUUCAGUCAACCCAACAAGCUUUUCAGUCAAACACGCAAGCUAUUUUAAAGCUUGAACAUCAAUUGAGUCAAUUAGCAACUACUAUAGCGGAGAGAGAAAAAGAAAAAUUUCCAAAUCAACCAGUUCCUAAUCCUAAAGGAGUGCAUGAAGUUGGAUUAAUGAAAAUACAUCGUGGUAUUAUAGAGGAUGUGUUGAUACAAAUUGACAAAUUUUAUUAUCCUAUUGAUUUUAUUGUUAUCGAUACCCAGCAUGUACAGGAUCCUCAUAAACACACCUCAGCUAUUCUAGGUCGUCAUUUCUUAACUACAACUGAUGCUCAUAUUAGUUACAGGACUGGAAACAUGGAAUUGUCUUUUGGUAACAUGACCAUGGAAUUAAACAUUUUUAAUGUUCCCAAGCAAGCACAAGAAGAUGAUGAAGUUGUUGAAGUACAUAUGAUAGAAGCAUCAAUUGAUGACUCACUUAUUUCUAACCACUGUGACAAUCCAUUAACACCAUGCACAACUAACUCUAAUUUCUCUGUUGAUGUUGACAGUGGUAUUGAAGAAGUUAAUACUUUACUUGAUUCGACUCUUAUUCUAGAUCUAAUUAAGUGGAAAGAAAAGAUUGAGCCACUUCCUCCUAAAGAGAAAAUUGAACCAUUCAAGUUGGAGCUACUUCCUAAAGCAGGUCACAUUCUGACAUGAAAAAUGUGCUAAGAUUUAAAGUGCUUAAAUUGUUAGAUUUUUAUACUACUUCAGAUACCUCGCAGGUAAGCUUGGAACAGAAGAAAUCAAAGAAGUGCGAUAUUAAGGAGUUUCAUUACCAUCAUCCUUUUAUGGAUAAAAUGCUCAAGUGCUUAAUCAAUUAUGCUUUCUGGUAUUUUCUGUAUAAUUGCUUUGAUUUUCACCAAAUUUUUAUUGAUCCUGGUUAAUUCAUUGUUUACAUUAAGUAGUUAGUUAGUAGGAUUUUUUUUAUUUUGUUUUUUUUUAUUUUCUUAUUUAUAUUUCUUGUAACGUGUUAUUUUUAAUUGUCAUUUAGUUUUAAGCUUUCCCAGCCCAUCCAGGUGUGUUCUAUCCAAUUUUCUUUUUUAUUAUUUAUGUUUUUAUUUUUAUUUUUUUAUUUUAUUUUUCAUCUUUUUGCAUGCAUAUCUUUUGUUUUUGAAACAUUGAGGACAAUGUUCCGAAUAAGUUUGGGGGUGGGAAUAGUGUGUUCUUUGUUUGGUUGUUAUUAAAAAAAUAAAAUAAAAUAAAAAAAUUUCAAAAAUUCAAAAAUUCAAAAAAUGUUUUUUUGUUUUUAUGUGAAAAGCCAAUGAUAAAAACUUGAUUGAUAAUGAAUAUGGUUUUUAGAAAGGGUUGAAUAUUGUCUUAGUUUAUACUUGAUUCUUGUGAGUUCCUCUUGAUUGAGAUUCUUUACACAUCAUGAGCACUAAUAUCAGUUCUUUCAUGAUUUUCACUUGAAAUUUGAGAUUGACACAGCCUGAGUUGAGAAUUUUAGAUAGAGUAAAUGACUGUUUGUCUUGAUUCUUAUCUCCACAAUACAAAAUAGCAUACGCAGGUGCCAGAGUCAGAAAUAACCACCUAUAACUCUUAAGAGUGAAGCUAUCCUUGAGUAAUUUGGGCCUAUGUACCACAAGUAUGUAGAGGAUAAUCUACCAUGAGAAGAAGGCUACCUUAAGGGGUAGAGUGAAAGCUCCUAACUAUGGUUAAAAAGAAAAAAGAAAAAAAAAAUCAAGUGCAUGUGCUGAAAAAAAAAAUCAAAAGAAAAUGCACAUAAAAGCAUGUGAAAAAAAAAAUGGAGAUUAAGAUGAUAAGAUCUGUUUGACCUACUCUUUUCUUUGUUUGAGGCGAAGGCUGUUGAUAUUGAAGAUUUUGGGAAUGAAUUUGAUUGAAUUGAUUUCACACACAUACUACAAGAAUCGAAAGAGAGAUGGGAUUGAUUAUUGAAUUAAAGUUAGAACUUUGCCAAUAUUUGAAAUUUUCUUUGAGCUAUAUAAUUUUUGCAAUCUUUAAGGCUAUUUUUCAUGUUUUAUUUAAAGUUUUUUGUUCUUUUAAUUUAAUUUAAUUUUUUUAAAAUGAUGUUUGUGGGUAUCAUCACUGAAGCCCUCACGAGACUAUAACUCGUCCACUGAGGCCGCCUAGGGGUUUAAAGGUUUGUUGCAUACAAUAAAUGCAAUCGCAAUCACCUACGAAAGUGGUUUAGUUAGGAUUUACUUUUUGUUUUGUUAGUUUUAUUUUUGUUUUAAGUUUUAGUUUUGCUCGAGGACUAGCAAAAUCUAAGUUUGAGGGUAUUUAAUGAGCAUAAUUUAUAUACAUAUUUUACUGUUUAUUAUCUAAUUACUAGUUAUUUUUAUUUGUUAUUUUUUAAUUAAUUGAAUUAUUUUAUUGCAUAGGAAAUUAAUUGGAGAUUGGAAAUAAAAAGUGCAAAAAGAAUAACAAUUUGGGAGAAUAUUAAUUGAAGCCGUGACAGAGUUAAGAGCCAAGAGCAAUUUGCAUUGAAUUUCAAUUCUCCAAUUGAGUUGCACGUGCAUGGCAUUGCAAAAGUGGAAAGAAAUUUAAAUGGGGCCCGCACUUGACUUUCAAAAGUAGAAUUAAUGGCUUAUUGUUGCGUUAUUAUGGAAGCUUUGUUUUAUAAUUGGAAAAGGAUUUUAAUUAGUAGACAAAGAGGAUUCGGUGGCUAAGCAUUAUAAAAAGAGAGUUUUGGCUUUUGAAUGGGGGGGCCGCCAGAGGACAAAAACAAAGGUGCAGACGCAAGGUUGGAAGAGAGCAUUCGGCAGCAGCAGCAAUUCGCCUUCCAUGACUGAUUUUAUUUCUUGUGUUGCUCUCAAUUUAAGUAUGUCUAGUUAAUUUUUUUAUACUGAAGUUAAGGAUGAAACCCUAUUCAAUGAAAUAAUUAUUUUUUUAAUUCCCUAUAUAUGUUCUUUAAUAAUUAUAAUUUUUAUUUCACAUGAUUAAUUAGAUGUUAUUAAAAUUUUUUCAUCAAUUAUUAUUAAAAUCUUUUCAUUAAUUCUGUCAUACAUUAUUGAUUGUUAGGAUUAAUAUUUGAUUAAAUCUAUACUUGGAUUUAUAAAGUUUAUACAUGAUUAUCUUUGAUUCUAUGUCUUUUAUUAAAUUGUUUACAUGGAGUGCUUAGGAAAUUUUGACUCUUUGUUAUUCAAUAUGUUUACAUGAGCUUCUUAGAAGUCAUACUAUUAAGCAGAAAAAGAACCUACACAAAAUUAAUUUUAUUUGGGGUUAAUUGUUAUAUCUAUGAGAUGACAUAGAUUGAUUUCGAGUUGUCACUCUAAAAUUGGGGAUUAAUUAAUAAUUAGAUAAUUACUAGUUGAAUAGUGGUGGAUUCUAAAACCUUGGUAAUUUUCGUCUUGUUGAAAUUUCAUUUACUUUAAUUGUUUUCUUAGCUUAAUUAGUUUAAUUUCUCUUAAAACUCAAUUUGCUCAACUAGGUUAGAAUUAAUAUUAAUUUUAGAUUUAAAUUAGACUUUUCAAUUUAUAACAAUCCCUGUGGGAUCGACCUCGUUACCACUAUUCUAUCUCUAGAUUUGUGCGCUUGCGAGUAUAUUAAAAUUUUCACAACAGUCUGUGACAUAAUAAAAUUGGUUGAAUUAAAUAUCUCUUGGCCCACAUGAUUUAUUUUUAUUAUUUUUUAUUUUCAUUCAACCAAUGAAUUAAUACCGCAUCCAUUUGUACAAGAGUUUGUGGCUAUAUCAUCACUCUAAUUAAAUAAUAUUACAAAAUACUAUUUGCUUAAAGGCUUAGAUGGGGAUGAUGGAUGAGAAAUCUCACCCUCUAAAUACCAAUUUUUCUUCCUAUUAUUCAAAUUUAGGUGACCACAGGUCUAUAUUUACAAGCAGCCAAGCUACACCCAAGAGGCUAAUUAAUCUUUUCCUUAAACUCAACUUUUGAAAUUAGUUACCAAUUUCUACUUUCUUGAAUCAUUUUACUUGGUGUUUUAUCAUAUCUUACGAUGCAGUAUCGCCGCUAUAUCUUUUCCCAAAGUUUAAUUUAAUGGAGGAAAUCUGAGAGAUAGAUUCUUCAAAUCUAAUAUUUAUGACAUUAAGCUUUUAAAUUCAAUAUAAAAUCAAAAUUCGCAGUCACCUAUUCUCCACACAAAGCAAAGAAAAAUUUCUAGAGCAAUUUACUUGCUCCAUCUUUUCCCCAGAAUACACAAAAUUCUAUCAAAGAUUUACAAAAUAGACAUGGCAUAAGAACUUCUGUCAUUUGCUCUACCAAAUUUGACAUUUAUCACUAAAGAUUAAUGUGCCUUACAAGGAGCAAAAUCCAUCGAUCUCAAGAAACAUCCCAAUAUUGAGAGAAACAAUAAAUUUAUUUGAGUAAUCGUGCCAUCAUCGACUUAGCGAUAUACCAGAUUCACUUCCAUGGAAAGUCUGUCAAAUUUUGUAGUUGAUUCUCUUCGCUGUCAUCCAGGCCUUUGGAAAUGAAUCAAACGGUGGCUGGGAUUCCAAUGUUUUGACUACAAUGCUGCUCUACUGGGAGCUUGCAUUGUCAACUUUUUUAAUUAUAGCAUGUGUAUAUUUGACUUUAAGUUUUGUGUUUAGAGCAUAUAACAAUCCAUAGGUUGUGAGUCAGAUGUAUAUGUUGUUUGCUUGUGUCAAUACAUACUUAUUUUGAAUGAAAGAGUUGUUAAUUGUUAAUUAUAUUUCUUCUCUCUUGUUUUUUUUUUUUUGUCAUUUUUCCGAUUAAUUUCUUACUAUGUUAAAUGAAAAUAAGGUUUCUUUGAUAUUAAUGUGGAAGUAGGAAUUCUUGAAUAAUUUAUUUGUGAAAUGUUAAUUUUUCAAUUUAUUUUGUUACUUGUAAAGUUAGGAGGUGCGUAAAUGAUAAACUAAUUUUUUAGCCCUUUACCUAAUUAGAAUUUAAAUAAGCAACUUUUGAAUCCUUCACAUACACAUUUAUGUCCUUUUAUAUAAUUCAAAUUUCAGUAAAAGUGUCAAAAGUUUUUUUUUUUUUUGGGUUAAAUUUCACAUCCCAUCCUGUACAUAAACACCAAUUAGAUAAAUUUCUUUUCCAUAAGCCGCAUCUAGUUGACUACAUCACCGAGCCAUUGACCAUGCUAAGAUGUUGACCGGUCAACAAUUGACCAUUGACUUUGAGAGUCAACUUUCACAAAAAAAUUUAAUUUUUUGCUCUAAAUCUCUCCUAAAGUUUUUGAUGUUAUGGAUCUAUACGUGCAUUCAUAAUCUCCAAAUUCUCACUUAAUUUGUGAGUUAUGGAAUGUGUUGUUCCAUGAUCCACAAUUAAAGGGAUCAAAAUGGAGUAUCAAAAUGAUGGCUCUAUUAGGUGCACGUGAUGUAUAGGUGCACGUGAUGUAUGUGAAGUUGUAGAGAAAUGUUUUACUGUACUAGAAGAUGAAGUUACUUUAAUUGCGACACAAAAGAAGAAUUUGAAAGACUUGAAAAUGAAAGAGAAGAAAGAAAAAUAUUUCAUCUUUCAAACAUUAAAUAAAGAUGCUUUUGAACAGAUUUUUCAACGCUACCUCCUUAAAAAAAGUAUGGGAUAAGUUACAGACCUCUUACAAAGGAGAUGAAUAAGUUAAGAAAGUUCAUCUCCAAAUAUUAAAAAAAGAAUUUGAAUCUUUUCAUAUGAAGGUAUCUAAAUCUAUUUCGGAUUAUUUUACCCAAGUUGUGAUUGUUGCUAUGAAACGAUGAGCAACUUCAAGAAAGGUUGCAAGCCUACAAAAAAUAUAUGAAAGAAGAAGCAUGGGAUUGAAGAACAACUCCUCAAGAUGGAAAUCAAUUCGAAGAAGAGAGAAGAAAGCUCCGUCAACAGGAAAAACCAAUAUGUCCAAGUUAGAGGCUAAGGAUAAGGUAGAGGUUGUGGUCAAGGACUAGACAGGAAUUUCAACACCAAUAACUCUAGUUAUGAAAGAGGAGAAUGCUCAAUCAGAAUAUGAGGAAGAGGCAACCCAAGAUUGAGGUAUGACAAAUCCUAAGUAUAGUGCUACAAUUGCUAAAAGUUUGGCCAUUAUGCUUUUGAAUGUUAAGACUCCCAAUAAUAAAGUUGAGGAGAAGAACAAUUAUAUGGAAGAGAAGACUGAAGAGAAUAAAACAAUACUACUAGCAUACUAGGACAAUUAUAGAGGUCACAAGUGCCUAGUAUCUUGAUACUAGUGCGAGCAAUCAUAAAUAUGGAAGAAAAAAUGUGUUCAUGGAGCUAGAUGAAUCAUUAAAUAGCAAUGUAUCAUUCAGAGAUGAUUCCAAAGAAUAGUGAAAAGGAGAGAUAAAAGCCUUAAUUGUUUAAAAAAAAUGGAAGACAUCAAUUUAUUUAAAAUGUUUACUCUACGCCCAAUAUAAAAAGAAACAUCUUGAGCUUAGGUCAACUCUUACAAAAAGGCUAUAAUAUUCACAUGAAAGAUCAUAGUCCUUUUAUAAGAGAUGACAAAAGAAACUUAAUUAUGAAGGUGAAAAUGUCAAAAAAUAGAAUGUUCUCUUUGAAUAUUCAAAAAGAUGAUGUAAAGUGUUUAAAGACUUGUUACGAGGAUGCAUAUGACUUUGGCAUCUUCAAUUUCGGUAUCUCAAUUUUAGAGGAUUGGAGUUACUAUCUAAGAAGAAUAAUAGAAUAUGGUGAAAGUCUUACCAUGUAUUAAUAACCCUGAUCAACUUUGCGAAGGAUGCUUAGUAGAAAAAUAAUUUAAAGAAAGCUUUCAAAAAGAGUCAAACUUAAGGGCAAAAAGGGCGCUCGAGUUUAUUCACUCAAAUAUUUUUGUUCCAAUCAAGCCAAGCUCCCUUGGUAAAAAUAGACACUUCUUUCUCUUCAUAGAUGGUUUUCCAAGAAAAGCUUAGGUAUACUUUUGAGGUAAAAGUCAUAAGUUUUGAAACUUUCAAGAAGUUCAAAACUGUAAUGGAGAAAGAAAGUGGAUACCUAAUUAAAGCCAUAAGAUCUAUCGAGGAGGAGGAUUCACUUCUAAAGAAUUUCAAGGCUUUGUGAAGCAAAUGAAAUUCAACGUCCUUUGACUAUUCCACCACCCCCCAAUAAAGUGGUAUCCCAUAAAGAAAGAAUAGAACCAUUCUCAACAUAUGCAAGAAAUAUGAUGAAAAAUAAGAGACUGCCUAAAUAAUUAUGGGCUAAAGCUGUUACUUGUGCGGUCUACCUAUCUAACAGAUCUUCAACAAGUCUAUGAGACAAUACACCAUAAGAAGCAUAAAAUGGCAUAAGUCAAGCAUCUUCCACUUAAGAGUUUUUAGAAGCAUAGUUCAUGUACAUGUAUCAUACGAGCAAAGAACCAAAUUGGAUGACAAAAGCGAGAAGUUCAUCUUUAUCGACUAUGACAAUAAUUCCAAAGGAUACAAAUUGUAUAGUCCAAACAUAGGAAGAUCAUAAUUAGUGGAGAUGUAAUUUUUUAUUAAAAAAAAUGAGAAUGGGGUUUUAGCUCUCACGUAGAUGGUGUUAUCUUUUUUUUUUUUUUCUCUCUUCAAGAAAACGAACAGAUAAUAGAGGAGCAAGUAGGAGAACAAGAUCAAGAACCCGUUGUUUCACCUACCUCUCCAGUAUCAACCACUCAUGAAGAUCACCACCAUUAUUUUUGGAGGAAAGAGAUGUGACACACACAAGCAUAAACUAUGAUGAGGUGCUUGAUCUUGUUGCCCGAUUGGAAACUAUAAGACUAAUCAUUUCAUUAGCAGCCCAAAAGAAGUGAAAGAUUUUGCAAAUAGAUGUGAAGUCAAUUUUCUUGAAUGGUAGUAACGAGACAUGGCAUCUUUAAAACAAGUUACAGUCAAUUAGAGGGUAUGUGAUCUGAUUAUUGUCAGUAGUAGUAGCAAGAAUAUAAUUUCCAAGAUCAUGGUUGACGAGCUUCUCAUUAAUAAUAUUUAGUAUUUUCUCAAUUGAGACAUUUUUCUCCUUUGUGAGAGCCCUCUUCUUGAGUUUUUAAGAACGUACAGUAGAAUAACAUCUAGUAUCGUUUUCGCGUUGCAUCACCAUCUAUCAUCCUUAAUUCAGGUCCUUCUUCUCACUCAUCAUGAGUCAAUCUUAAUCUUUAGAAAUCACAAUAAACUAUAAUGGAAAUACAAAGCUCAAUAUGUAAACUAUUUUUUCAUAGACCAAAAUACAAACAUAUUUAUAUGUACUGUAAAAGUAUGAUAUGCAAUGCUCUUGGUAAAAAAGAAUUAUUCAAAACUUUGGGUUACUUUCAAACUUUCACACUUCCUUUCAAUGCAUGAUAUGCAAGUCCCUUUGAAAUUAGUCACUUGAAUCGUUUUACAUGAUAUUCUACCCAUAGCUUACAGGCGGAGCAUCAGCACCAGAUAUUUUCCAAAUUAAAUUGUAGGAAAUCUAAGAAGAUAUCACACUUUUAUUAAUUUAAAUUCAAGUUCACUGUCAUUCACUUUCAAAAACCAAAAGACCCUUCACUUUCAACUCUUUACUUGCUUCCUUUUUCUUCCAAUUUUUCUCUUUCUGAAUGGAUUUUCUACAAGUAAAAUUUUCUUUCUCUUCUCUAGAAUGCAAAAAAGUAUAGCGAAGUUUUAAAAAAUGGACAUGGCGGAAAAUUAUUGUCAUUUGCUUCAGCAAAUUUCACAUUUAUUAGUAAAGAUAAGUGCGCCUUCAGUAGAACAUAAAACCCAUUAAUGUCAAGAAUCCAAUAUUUGAGAGUAGCAAUAUAAUUUAUUUGAAAUAAAGGAUGACAUGGACAAACUUGAACCAAACUUAGCAUCAUAGCUUAUGUUCAUUUAUUAUUUAUCUUGUUUUGAAUAGAAAAGAGUUGUUUAUCAAUUAUAUUUCUUUUAUCUUGUUUCUAUGUAAUUUUUCCAAAUAUUUCUUAAGAUGUUAAAACAAAAUUAAAAUUUCCUAAGUUAUUAAUAGGAAAGUACGUAGGAGGACUCGAGUAAUUUCUUUGCGUACAUAUUUUUGCAUAUGCCAAAUUGCAGCAACUAGUGAUCGGUCAUUCUGUUGUGCGCGGAAUGCGGAAUCAAGAGCACCAAACAAUUACAGAAAAAUAAAGGACACAAGAAUUACGUGGUUCGGUAGUUAAACCUACAUCCACGAAGGCAAGAAAGAAUAAUUGUUUAUUUAACAAUUAAUAGAGUACAAAUAUUUGAUUAACGAAUCUCACUUCCCAGAAACCCAAAUAUACCCAAUACUCUCACACUCUGCAAGAAAGAUAAAUUCCCUAGACACACUUCUCUCACUUCUCUCAAAAGCUUAGAAAUUUAUAAGCUUAACAAUUUUGGGAUGAUUUUAAAUGAAUGAAAUCCUGAACUAUUUAUAGGAGAAAUGAAUUACUAUGCAAAGAAUAAAAUAAUUAAAAAUAUAAUUUUUAAUUAUUAUUAUUUUUCAAAUUCAUCCCCUUUGUCAAUUCUUUCUUUUCGGCUACAAAAUCAAUUUUGAUUUUGCUUCUCUACAAUUGUUGGUGCAACCAACAAUUUGUUGACUUCAACACAUUCUUGGUUUUUUUUUUUUUUUUUUUUCCACAAGCAAAGUAACAUGAAUAGACCUGGAGUAAACAAAAUGAUAGUUAGUUAGGGAGAGAUAAUGAACUUCACCCCUUGAAGAAUUAUAUAUUCAACUAAAGCCAAAACAAAAAGAGAAAUUGGUUUCACAUGGAUUCGUUGAUCAUUUUGCGCAAACUCAUUGAAAUUUAUCCAAUUUUAAUACUUCUUGUUACUUGUUGUGUAAGAGCAUGUAUAACGUAUUUAAUAUCUUUGGUGAUCAUUUUGGACAAACUCAUUAAUUAAUUUUAGUCAUUCUUGUUACUUGUUAAUUGUUAUAUAAGAACAUAUGUAAUAUAUUUGGUGUAGGUAAUGAAAAUUAUUAGAUAUAUGCUUUUAUUAUAUAUAAUAAGUAACAAGAAUUAUUAAAAUGAAAUAAAUUUCAAUAAAGAGAAAGGUUUAUAUAAGACAGCCCCCUAAUGUUUUGUCAUCUGACAGUGUAGUGUGUCCCAUAUUAAAUUAAUUAAAUAUAAUAGAUCUUGUUGCGAUCUUUUUGCGAAAAAAGAAUUCUCAAGAGCUCAUCAUAUAUAGUUCCUAAAAAAUUACUAUAUUUGAUAGAUAAGCGUGUCCUAAUUAAGAAAAGAUUUGUAGGAUCAAAUUAAUAAAUAGAGCCACGAUCCUCUUCGCAAUCUAUCGACCAGCUGCAAUCGAGCAGUUUAGAUUUUAAUCACAGCCAUGAUCUCUUCAAGGCUCCUAUGCUGCCUAACAGCGUUACUGAUUCUCCCCUCAUCAUCAAAUGCAGCUGAUCCCGAUCCUCUACAAGACAUCUGUAUCGCAGAUUUGGAUGCCAAAAUCUCUGUGAAUGGCUUCCCUUGCAAAUCUGAAACUGAAGUAACUUCCGAUGAUUUUUUCUUCGAUUUGUCCGAAGAAGGAAACUUGUCAAAUGCCUUCGGACGUGCAGUAACUGAAGGCAAUGUUCAUGAAUUUCCAGGGGUCAACACUCAAGGAAUUUCAACAAAUCGAGUUGACCUUGCUGUUGGUGGAAUCAACCCUCCUCAUUUACAUCCUCGCUCAAGCGAGUCAAGUAUUGUCAUUAGAGGAACAGUGCUCGUAGGAAUCAUAACAACUGACAAUGUGUUUUACUCAAAGGUUGUGACAGCCGGGAUGCUGUUUCUAAUUCCUAGAGGACUGGUUCACUUCCAGCUAAAUGUCGGAAAAGAAAAUGUUCUUUUCUUCCCUUCUUUCAACAGCCAAUUACCUGGCACUCAGUUCGUGCACUCAAGUCUGUUUAAUACAACACCGCCAAUUCCUAAUGAAGUGUUAACCAAAACUUUCCUGGUAGGCGAUGAGGUGAUUAAUGCCAUUAAAGCAGCCAUCACAUCAGCCCAGUUAGGACAUCGGCCCAAAUAGAUUAACGUUCACAAUAAUGCUUGGUCGGGGAAGUUAUUUACUUAAUUAUUUAUAUUGAUUUGAAUAAAAGGAUUGUUUUCUAAUAAGAAUAAUGAUUGGGUUAUAAAGUUUGUAUUCUAACUUGUGUGUCGCCUUGUUUGAUAAGAAUAAUGAUAGGCUUUAUCUUAUAGAGCCGUAUAAUGAUUAGUUACUUAGCCUUAUCCGUGAUUCUAUUUGUAUAUUUCCACAUCUAUUUGUAUUCCAACUUUGUAAGUGUAUCACUGAUCUUCUAUCUGUAUUCUUCUUUUUCAUUUCUUUGUAAUUUCAUCUAUCUUUAAAAGUUUAUGCCAACUUGAUAUUGCUGUAAUUUUUAAAAUAAUUAGUUAUGAAUAGAUUCAAUAAUUUAUUUUUGUAUCAGUCAGAUUCAAUACCAUGGCCCCUAAGCACCUAUUCAAGCCCAUUAAACAUACACUACUCAUAAUCAUCAUUAUUCUUAGAGCUUAAAGAGUAAUGAUAUUUGAACCAAAGGAUUCUACAUAAUGGCGACAAACAAUUGUAAAAUCACAUGGUGUUAUGAUGUUAAGCAAAUAAUUAACAUUGUUUUUCAAUUAAAACUAUAAAACCGUAUAAUUCUAGCAUUGAUUUUUUUUCUCAUUAUGUCACCAUUAGGGCUUUUAUUACUUUUAGAACUUAAAACUAUUCCAAAUUCACUAAAUAAUCAAUCUUUUUUUCUGCAUUAGCUUAUGAAACGAUGGACGAUGGACGAGAUUCAAUUGUUCCCAUUACAAAAGCUGCUCUGGUGGCAGCUGCAUUACCAGAUUUUGAGCUAAACUUCAAACUUAUGUACUAGAUGAUUUUAAUUUGAUGCAAUACAUAUUUUUACUUCUAAUUUAGUUGUAAGAUGUAAUUAGAUGUGAGUUGGGUUGUUGGGUUAAGUUGAAUAUCUAGGAGUGAUGUAAUUAGAUGUGAGUUGGGUUAAGUUGAAUAUCUAGGAGUGUGUGUGUGUGUGUGUAUGUGUUGUAUUUUGAAUUAUUUUCAAGUUUAUUGUUCUAAGGAAGACAUGGACAAAUUUAAACAAACCGUUAGCAUCAUCGCUUAUGUCCAUUUACUUAUUUCUCCUGUUUUGAAUAAAUUAAAAGAGUUAUUCACUUGUUUGUUAAUUAUAUUUCUCCUUUCUUAUUUCUGAGUCAUUUUUCUGAAUAAUUUCUUCAUAUGUUUAAAUAAAAUUAACAUUCCCUAAGAUACUAAUGGAAAAGAUGUCUUGGAUAAUUCGUUUGCGAAUACAUUUAUCCAUUAGAUACAUAUUACAAAUUGCGGCAAAUAGUUAUCUUUCUUUCUUUCUUUUUUAUUUUCUGCUGUACCGUACAUCCGCCUUGGCCGUACAGCAGUGUUUUUAUAACUUAAUUUGAAUUUUUAAAUAAUUUUGACUUAAUUAAAAAAGUUAAUUUUUUUUUGGGUUUUUAUGACUGGAGAAGUUUGAAUCAGCCAAUUGAUUUCUAAUAUUAAAAAUAUCUCUAAUUUAUUAUUUAUUUUUCAUGCUUAUCCUAAAACACACCCAUACAUGUUUAUCUACUAAUAAUCUCAUCUUUAUUUUUUCCAGCUGCUAUGAAAUCCCUCCCUACUUUACUUCUCUCAUCAAGUUCUUGAAUUUCUCAUUAUCGUUAAUAAAAGAUUUUAUUCUUAAAAUUUUUAUGUAAUUAUAUAAUCAGUUUUUAUUAAAAAAGAAAUUUAUAUGUUAUAAUUUCAAAAUAAUUAUAUAUAUAAAGCUUAGGAAAAGGAUACAAAACUCUCUAAUGUCUCAAAAAAGACUUUUAAACUCUAAAUUAUUAAUGGAUUCAAUUUUUUUAAAUAAUUUAAAGGUUAAUAUGAUACAUUCCAUAAUUAAUAAUGGGUGAUGAUAGUUGAUGAAGAAGAAGAAGAUGACAUUGAAUAAGAUGAGCAAUUAGGAAAAAGGAGAUAAUAAACUGAAUUUCAACAGUAAAAUUCCAACCAUUAUAAAUAAGGGUGUGUUUCUAAUUCUAUUAAUAAUUUAUGGGCAAAAUGGAUUAGUCAAUACAAUUACUUGUAUUUUAGAGGAAGAUAAUGGUAAUCAUAAGUUGAAAAUAAUUUUUCUUGUUAAAAUUAACAGAAUCCAUUAACAAAUUGGGGGUAAAUGUUUUUUUAAACGUUAGAGAGUUUUGUAUCCCUUUCUAUAAAGGUUUGGGGUGUAUCAGUCAUUUUCUCUAUUAUUUCCUUGACAUUCGAAUUUAAUAAGGAUACAAAUGUAAAAGUACACAUUUUUAGUUUUUAAGUUAAAAAAAAAACUUAAUACUUUUUCAAAGAUUGAAAAAAAAAUUAUUUAAAUUCAGACAUCCUAGUCUAUUAAAAUUUCAUAGUAGUUCAAGUCUAUUUAAAUUUCAAAUAAAAAAAUUCCAGCUAAAUCCGUUUGUUUUUUCAACAUAAUGAAAAUUUUUAGUUAUUAAGUCAUUAAGUCAUUAAGCCAACUUUUUAACUUUUUGCUAAGCAAAAAAGAUGCCAUUAAAAUAUAUCUUCCAAAAUAUCCCUAUCUAAUUAAUUAAUUUUCAUCCUUACCUAAAUAAAAUUUAAUAAUUAACAUUAUUACCCAUCUCUAUAACUUGUGAUAAUAUAGCGGUAGGUGACUAUUAUUUUUAUCCUUUUAUUUUCUUCAAAUUAGCAUAAUUAAUCUUCAUGAUUUUUUUGAAUAUUUUUUUAUAUAAAAAUAUUAUGAACUACAAUUAAAUUGAUUAACAUGUAUAAUGGAAAAGAUGUCUUGGAUAAUUCGUUUGCGAAUACAUUUAUCCAUUAGAUACAUAUUACAAAUUGCGGCAAAUAGUUAUCUUUCUUUCUUUCUUUUUUAUUUUUUUCAGAGCAACUCAACAUUAAUAGAACAACAUUGAACCAAAUAACGCUUAGGUAGGGAGACAUACCGGGCAUCACCACCACAAAUCCUUCCACCCCGUACCCUAAUACCAUCCCCAAGCCAUCAUAUGCUUCUGCAGUCAACCCUGUGUCCAUCGUUGACCCUAAUGUUGCCUCUAGGCUCUUUAAAUCCUUUGUUGAUGUUUGUUACAAUUUCAUCUUCGCCUUCUUUUUCUGUGAAGAUGGGCACCUUUCAUCGAGGCGAACCUGCUAUACAUUUUAAAGAAUUAGCAGUGCAGAUUAAUUAACUAGUUUCUUAAGAUAGUUGAAACAAGCAUAACCCUCGCAAUAUAUAUAUAUAUAUAGCCGUAUGUUCAUAAUCGAUCAUUCUAUUAAAAAAAUUUCAAUACUUCUAUUUUCUUUUUACUUCAUGGAGUCUUAUUACAGUAGAUACAAAUUAAUUUUCAAUUAGUGAAAUAAUUUUCAAUUAAUGGAAAAGAUGUCUUGGAUAAUUCGUUUGCGAAUACAUUUAUCCAUUAGAUACAUAUUACAAAUUGCGGCAAAUAGUUAUCUUUCUUUCUUUCUUUUUUAUUUUUUUCAGAGCAACUCAACAUUAAUAGAACAACAUUGAACCAAAUAACGCUUAGGUAGGGAGACAUACCGGGCAUCACCACCACAAAUCCUUCCACCCCGUACCCUAAUACCAUCCCCAAGCCAUCAUAUGCUUCUGCAGUCAACCCUGUGUCCAUCGUUGACCCUAAUGUUGCCUCUAGGCUCUUUAAAUCCUUUGUUGAUGUUUGUUACAAUUUCAUCUUCGCCUUCUUUUUCUGUGAAGAUGGGCACCUUUCAUCGAGGCGAACCUGCUAUACAUUUUAAAGAAUUAGCAGUGCAGAUUAAUUAACUAGUUUCUUAAGAUAGUUGAAACAAGCAUAACCCUCGCAAUAUAUAUAUAUAUAUAUAGCCGUAUGUUCAUAAUCGAUCAUUCUAUUAAAAAAAUUUCAAUACUUCUAUUUUCUUUUUACUUCAUGGAGUCUUAUUACAGUAGAUACAAAUUAAUUUUCAAUUAGUGAAAUAAAGUGGCGCAAGAGAUUUGAUGUUAGUACGGUCCCGCCACAGAUUGAAAAAUACUAAAGUUCAUUUUUUUAAUUAAAAAAAACAACAAUUUCAAUUGUGCUCAAGACUAAAAUAUUAAAUCGAAUCGAUUUGCAUAAAAUUAAUUAGGGUAAUUUAAUUCUAUUUAUGUUAAAAUUAUCCACUUCAUGAAAUUAAUUAUUAAUUUUUACACUGGUCGAAUCAUUUUGCAUGAUGUUCUACCAUAGGUUACGACGGACCGUGACCGCCAGAUCUUUUCCUAACUAAAGUGGAAAUUUAAUGAAGGAAAUCUACGAAUAUGAAAUUUCUAUGACAUUAAUUAAAGUUCAACUUCAAUAUAAAUUCAAGUUCAGAGAAGUUUGCUCUCCAAAACCAGAAACCAAAAACAAAACAAAAAAAUUCACAUAUAUCGAUAAAGCUAAAUGUGCACUUGCUUAGAGCAAAAAACCCAUUAAUCUCAAAAAAAUACUCCUUCAUUCAGAGAGACAAUAAUUUAUUUGAGUACCAGAAUUUCAAAUAUGGAUGUUGUAGGCUCUCCCCUCCCUCGUGUUUUGUUCAAUUUUUUUUUUUUUUUUGUAACAAUAAUUUUUUAUCUUUAAUCUUCAUCUUAAAGCCAUUAUGCUUGAUGACUCGUUCAUGUCAUUUUCUUCAGCCUUUACAAAGGUUGUUUCCCCGUUUGUUAGUUGCUGUUACUUGCCCAGCUGGAUUCCCGCCAAUACCAACAACCGUAUAUGCCUUUCUCACGUGCCAAGCAUGCGAAAUUUAAGUGAACCCAAAACGACAACAGGCUUGUGUCGUUUUGAUUAUAUUUGGUUUAUGAUAUCACGUGACAACACACAUGACUUUCGAACCACUUGUGGAUGACAUCCUCGAUAUUGUCGGUUGUCAGGCUUCAACACACUAGACAACAUGUACUGUCUUCGGAGUUCCGCAAAUACUAAACCAUUUUUUUUUUUGAAUGGGCAAAUACUAACUUAAUUAUGUGGCAUCCUUACGGAAAACUCUUUAGAAUUAUUGGAGAAUUUUAAUCCCGCCCAAGAUUCCAUAAAUAAAAAAUACCAAAUAAAUAAUAAGUAAAAUUAGACGGAGAAUAAAACUAGUCACACAACACAAGAAUUUACGUGGAAAUUUCUAUACUGAAGAAAAACUACGGCCACCAAGGAUGACGAGAGAAAAAUAUACUAUGUAAAAAAUUAUUACGAUCAUUCUAGUAUUUUUUCUCACACCAAAAACGCCAAUAACACUCAAUCUUUCAAUAGUUUUAUUGUUUCUCACACACAAGAAACUGUUUACUUGCAGAGAAUUAAUUGUUGUGUUAUAUAAAUAAGUGAACUCAACCUCCCUAUAUAUAGUGAUUAUUUAUUGUAGGAGAAAUAUUAUUUUUUUUAUACUAGUUAUAUUCCUCCUUAAAUAAGACAAGUCCCAAAGAAAAAAUUACUUAUUAUUUAAAUAGAAAUCCUACCAAAAAAAGGAAAAUAUCCUAAAAAAUCCUUAUUGAAAAAUAAGAUAUAUUUCCUGUUUGGUAACGGAUAAAAGGAGGAAAAAAGGGAGAGUGGGGGCAUGACUUUUAUCUCAUCCAUAACUUCCGAAAAGUGGGAGAGAACAAGGGGGGAAAGAGGGGAGUGGGGAGUUACCUAGGGGGGAUUUUAUUUAUUUUUUCUCUCUUCUCCGGGGGGUGUUUUUUGGGCUCUCUUCCUCUCAUGGAAAUUUCUUGCUUUUACACUAUACUUUACUUUCUGUAAAUUACUCGAAAAGCUUUGGGUUUGAAGGCAAUGCUUAUUAAGCCACAUGAGUGGUGGCACAAAUUUUUCCGAAAGGCCUAGAAACUGACUUGAGCGUCGGAGGCUUCACGCCGGAAAAACUUCCGGCGCCUCUGACCGUCUUCUAUGAUUUCCGGUAUUCACAGAUUAAUCGCCGGUGGUUGCAGGACAUCUAGACGAUUGACCAAUCGAUUCUCUACCAAAUAAAUCUAAAGUUGAUGCGGGAGUUUGGUAUCAAGUCGCUAACCGACUCAAUCGGAUUUCGACAUCAACAUUUGGCGCCGUCUGUGGGGAUCGAUACAAGAAGCCAAUUUGUUAUCUCUAUCAACUUUCAUCUAGCCAAAGCGAAGGCAAAAUAUUAUCAUGUGUGAAUUGAAGCAACCUGUCUUUUAUUUCUGAACUCACGUGAAAGAAGCAAAGCGAAUCGGUAAAAAACUAACCCAAUGUUGGCAUUUAGAAGCUUCAGAUCGGUAAAAUCUGUCACAGAUUCAUCUCCACUUGUAUUUCCAAUUAAAUUACUGCAAUUACUUUCAAUUUAUUUGUUUGUGUGCAUGAUAUAUUGCAUCAAAUGAUCAAUUGUGAUUUGGCUUUCAUGAGCAUGAGAAAUUGAUUAUAGAGGAUAGAUUUAAAAAAUACAUAUACUGAAUAUAUGAAAUCAUAUCACAAACUAGUGGCCACAUGCUUGUUGGUUUAUAGUCAAUUGCUGAUCAUGUGCUUACCAUUAAAGUCUUGCACGCAUACAAGUUUAGAUAUUAAGAUUUUAACCACUUUCCCAAUCGGAUUAUGCCACGGUUUCAGCAUGCAUUUUGAUGGGUUUAAUCAUUUCGAAUGAUAUUUAAUUACUAAUUGGAUGCAGAGAUGUGUCAGAUUGUAAUUUCAGAAACAGGUUUCAGAUGAUAUUUGUUAAAAGUGGUGAUACGAGAUCACGCACAGUAAGCGUUAGACAAAAUGAUUGAUAGAAUAAAAAAAAAAAUCGCAGCCUCAAAUUGUAAAGAGCAAGCUUAGGACUCUACAUAGGAACAAUCAAGAUGGUGAGAUUAAUUGGACUGGAAAACAAAGGCUGCAACUGAAAUUACAGGGAGUGACGCUCAAUAGAACAUUGCGCAAGAGCAAAGGACUAAAAUCCAAAAUAAUUCUAAGAAGGGAGCAAAGCAGAGUCAAGCUCGGGAUUUGUUUGAUGACGUACCAAUGAAAUAAUGCAGAGCACAAUCUCAGGUGCACUUGUUCUAAAACCUCAGUUUUAUAUUUAUCCUUUAAAUCCGCUACCUGACUUCAAAAAUCUGAUGGAUGGGGUUUUGACUUAUUAAGUCGUUAAUAAAAAAUAGUUAAGAUUGCAUAUUAUAGAAUAUAUAGCAUAGUCAUAUNNNNNNNNNNNNNNNNNNNNNNNNNNNNNNNNNNNNNNNNNNNNNNNNNNNNNNNNNNNNNNNNNNNNNNNNNNNNNNNNNNNNNNNNAAAGGCCCAAACAUAUAUAAAUAGCUAACCUUGGCCGUACAGCAGUGAGCUAUUUUCUGGACAAGUUAUACGUUAUAGGUCAGAAAUUAAAUUUUUGAUAGUUUAUUACAGCUGAUCAAUUUGCAGAGCAAAUCCAUAUUUAAGGAUUUAAAGAAAAAAACCUCAAAUAAGAGCACAUCGAAGGCACACAUUUAUAGGAAUCAGAACAGGUCAGAAGUUAUAUUUUGAUUUACAAGCAGUUUUUUCUAUGAAAAUUUAAUUGUUUCUCUAAAUUCUGCUAUAUGCGAUGAGGAUACCUUAUAUUCAUUAAAUUGAUUGCGCUCAUAUUAGGGCUGACGGUAUAACUUAGUUAACUUGAUUUCUUGAAAGUUACUCAAUAUGAGAAUAAUUUAAGAAAUGAGAGCUAGGCUAGCGUUGAGAAGCCAAUCAAAGUUUACUAAUAAGGCAUGCAAAGGCUCACCAAGUCUCAAAGUCUAUUUUAUGGCGAGACCAGAAGCCAAGUGUGCCAGGAUUUACUCGACCAAGCGAAGGCAAGCAGACCCUCAAGUAUUAUAAAAAUUCCUAAGGCAUGCAAAGGCUCACCAAGUCUCAAAGCCUGUUUUAUGGCGAGACUAGAAGCCAAGCGUGCCAGGAUCUGCUCGACCAAGCUAAAGUGAGCAGACCUUUAAGUGUUAUAAAAAUUUCUAAGGCAAGUAAAGGCUCCAAAGUCUCAAAACCUGCUCAAUGGCGAGAUAAAAAGUCAAGCUUGCUAGAAUUUGCCCGACCAUGUGAAGCCGAGCAAAAAAAAAAAAUUUACAACUUCUAUACCAGAAGACAAGUAAGAACAUUCUUAUUAAUAUGCCAACAGUUCGUAAAGUUAUUCAUCAUAACAGACAAUGUCCAAAAAAUAGGAAAAGGCAACUACAACACAAAACAUGUUUAAGAAGACGGCGGCUCAGUAAGCCGAGAAGCCUCAGUUGGCUGGUCCACCUCAGGUGCUGGGGGAGUAUCACCAGUUGCGUCCGGGGGGGCACUCGCCUCGCCAACAUCAACAGGGAUUGCACGAGGAGGAGAGUUUUCCUCCUCGACCAUAAUUGGCUCCACCACUUCGGCAUCCUCUUUCGCCGCCUCCUCAUCCAUGUGUUGAGCAACACCAGCUGCAAGGUCAUCCAUUUGCAGAUCAGGGUGCUACUUCCCAAGGACAACCAUGAUGCAACGAUAAGAAUGCCGAAGUCCUUGGUCGUAUUGGUUGUCAGCUUCAUUCUCCAAGUUCUCGUCCUAAGCCCGGUAGGAAUCGCGGAGAGAUUCGAGCUGAGCCUCGUACAUAACCUUCUGCCUUUGCAGAUCCUCCUUGACCUUGGUUAGCUCUUCCUCGAGAGUAAUAGCCUUUGCUUAAGCAAGAGAUUCUCACUCUAUCAGCUUCAGAUUCUCGAGAUUCAAGUCUCCUACUUUCUUCUCGGCAACGUCGGCUCUGGUCAUCGCCGAUUGAAUGUCCUCCUUCAUCUUCCAGUCAUAACGGCCAACCUUGACCUUAUAGUAAGUGGUCAUGCAGCUGAGAUGGAAAUCGCUAUACUGCAUGGCCCCCACCAGCUCACCCAGGGUGCAGCCAUCAAAGUCCUCCAGGUCCUUCUUACUUACAAGUUUAGAUAACUCGUUGAGAUAGGGGACCAAGUGUUCUGCUCGGUUGUCAGAUAAACGAGAUCUAGGCCUGACAGGAGGAGAAGAGGAAGCAGGAUCAGUGGCUGCUCCACUAGUUUCUCCGACUUUGGCAGGAGGAGGAGGUAGAGUCUUCAAGGGAGGAACCUGCUGCACAAUGUUCACCCGCUUCGCAGUAAGAGUGUUCUUGUUCUGGUCUCUCUUUGCAGUUUGAGGUCGAGAACGUUUCCAAUUCAGAGCCCCGAUCACAACAUCCUCCAUCUUAUGGCCGGGGGGCACCAAGCAAGAUUCAACCAGGUUAUAACGUGGUUAGCAGCUCCUAGUGUGAGCAAGAAUUGGCCAGCACAGCCUCGACCUGUUUGAGCUGGUCGGGAUUAAGCGGGAAGUGAACACCCCAAGAACCUGUAAAACGAACAGACAUUUGGUUAGAGACAAAUCAACAAAGUGAGAACAACUAUGGAGACAAGUCAUUUAAAAUGAGCAGGCAACCUGGAACCACGAAACGGGGUGGGACGCGAUAAUCUUUCCCAUCAAUCUGUGCAACUUGACCCCAGGGACCCCCUUAUAAAAAUUCCUAAGGCAUGCAAAGGCUCACUAAGUCUCAAAGCUUGUUUUAUAGUGAGACCAGAAGCCAAGCGUGCCAAGAUAUGCUCGACCAAGUAAAGGCGAGCAGACCCUUAAGUGUUAUAAAAAUUCCUAAGGCAUGCAAAGGCUCACUAGAAGCCAAGCAUGCCAAGAUCUGCUCGACCAAGCGAAGGCGAGCAGACUACAAAAGUUUCAGAAAUCUUCCAAGGCAUGCAAAGGCUCCAAAGUCUCAAAGUCUAUUUUAUGGCAGGACAGAAAGCGAAGCAUGCCAGGAUCUGUUUGACCAAGCGAAGGCGAGCAGACUACAAAAGUUCUAAAAAUCUCCUAAGGCAUGGAAAAGCUCCACAAGUCUCAAAGCCUCCUCGAUGGCGAGACAGGAAGCCAAGCUUGCCAGAAUCUGCUCGACCAUGUGAAGCCGAGCAAACAAUGAAAAUUUCAAAAAGUUUCUAAGGCAAGUAAAUGCUCCAAAGUCUCAAAGCCUGCUCGAUGGCGAGAUAAGAAGUCAAGCUUGCUAGAAUCUGCCCGACCAUGUGAAGCCAAGCAGAAAGAAAAAAAAAAGGUACUACAAGUAAAAGGCUUACAGUCUCCAAACCUCCUCGCAGUGAAACGAAGUCAAAGUUCUCUCUUGCCCGACUAAGAUUAUGCGAGCAAGAGUUAUAUGAGCGAAAAAUGUUCUAAAGCAGAUAAAUGACUAAGUCUUAAAACUUACUUGAAAUGAGAUAAAUACCUAAACUUAUGAAACCUGCUUUACAUGAUUAUGUGAGUAGGAAAAUGGUAUAUUUAAAGGCAUGUAAAAGUUUAAAACUUGAAACUUUUUUGUUAAGGGCAAGGUUAAUUUAAGCAAUCCCGAGCCGAUUUAUGGCAACCACCUCGAGUUCACUUUAAAAUUUAUAUAGUUUCCAGUCUUGAUUCGUUAAAGCUCUCAACACUAGAAACUGGGGGACUGGUGUUUGGUAACGGAUAAAAGGAGGAAAAAAGGGAGAGUGGGGGCAUGGCUUUUAUCUCAUCCAUAACUCGAUGUGUUGGUGAUUGGAUAUUGUAAAGGAUUUAUUAGAUAUUGUAUACGGAUUUGAUUCACCAUAUAUUUUGUGAUGCUAUUUGUUGGAAGUUUCAAGUGAUUGAAAUUUUUAGCGCAUCACACUAUUUGGUAUUUGAUAGUUUUUAUGAAUUUGAAUGUAAUUUUUAUUUCAAUUAAUUCAAGUUUUAAAUGUGGUUUUUGUUGUUUUUAUUUCAAAAUUCUGGAAUUUAAAUAAUAAUAAUUAAUAUUAUUAUAAUUUCAAAAUUAAAAAUAAUAAUUUUAUUCUUUUUUAAACUUUAAAUCUCAUGACAAAGAAUGUGAAUCAUUGAUAUAUGACAGCUUUUGAAGAAACCCAUCAAAUUCAAAAUAAUUUAAAUACCUGCUAAAAUUUCCAAUUAAUUCUCGAAAGUCUUUCAAAACGACGUCGCUUGGUUCGUGAUACAUGUGUGAUAAAUAUACAUUGUCAUGGGAACAUGUGAUAGAUAAAAUGUUGUCACAGAUUUGUGAGACGGGCUACAAUGACAGAUGGAAACUCUGUCAUAAGAGGGGUCGGAUGAUAGAUAUUCUCUGUCAUGGUAGCCCAUUUUUCUAGUAGUGUUCAAAUAGAAAAAUUAGUACGUUGUCAAUAUAAUUGUCUUAUAUAUGAUGCCAACAAUGAAACUAAACAAUCAUUCCCUUUAGCAUCCUUUUGGAAAAAUCUCUAUAACAAAUUGGAACAUUUUAAAAACUCAAAUCUUCAUAAAAAGUGGAGUGAGGAGUACCAUUAAUGAGUAAGUCCUGUGUUCGCACUUACAAAUACAAACACAAAGAUUAAAAUAAAUUUGAUCACUCACUAAUUGGAGUAUUUAUGUUAAACUUAUAGUUAUGUUUGGCCCUAAAAGUAUGCAAUAAAAUAACAUCAUUUUCAUAUACAAAAUUUUAUUUAUUCAUUGUUUAUUUUGACCGAACAUUAUUAGACUUAGUUUAUGAAGCAUGUAUUUUAUAUAUUGAUAAUUCUGCUGUACGGCCAAGGCGGAUGUACGGUACAGCAGGCCUAUCUAUCUUUUUUUGGUUUUUGUAUAUAUAUAACUCAUGAGAUUUAUAAUUUUUCAUUAUCAUGUUAACCCCUGGUCUGGACUGUCCUAAUAUUUAAACUUCUUUCCACCAUUUUCAAUUCUUAAAUUGACCAAUAUUUAUCUCAAUGUGUCCCUUUACUUGCCCAUUGAAUUUUGCAUCAAGGAUCUGAUGUGGUAGAAGAGAAGCUAACAAUUUAUGCGCUCGACAAUGUCUUUGCCUUUUGAAUUGAUUGAGAGAUCAUCAUUUCUUCACCCACUGGAAACUUUAGAUUAUGCUUUACGCUUUGGGCUUAUACUGGCAAGCCUACAAUCAUGGUAUUAAAGUUGGUAGAUUGAGGAGAUUCUGGUGAUUCCAGAAUUUUCUACAUUUUCUCUUUAUCUUUUGGAUUUUUAGAACUUUUUCCUUUCUUUUUAUUAGCUUGAUUUUGAUGGAUUUUAUUUAAUUAUAUAUGGAAGGUUAGAUGUUGUGCAUUAAUUAAAUUAUAGUCUUGAAAAAAUACUCUUUAAAAAAAUUCAUCUAGAAAUUUAGAAUUGAAAUCUGUCGAAGGCUAGACUAAAAGUUCUCUUCUCGUCUUUGGCAUUGCACUUGGUUUUAUAUUUCUCUUUACUAUGUACUCUGUUGCAAAAUAUUUUGUUUAUACUUAAUCUUUUAUAAUCCAGCAACUCUUAUGAAGACCUAGUCAACUGUCACUGCUACAUAAGCAUUCAGGUUAUGCUGCUUUAUCAUCAUUUUUAUUUUCUUCCAUUUUUCUCUUUUACAGCUUGUGAGCUUACUGCUUCAUUAUGUCAAUUUUCUGAAUGUGAUUUUUUAUUUUCUCUUGGGUUGUUUAUUCUCAUUUUCCCUUUAGUAUCAAAGCUGAUUAAAUCAAUUAGACACUGAUGAAUUUUAUUAUGAAUUUGAUUAAUUGUAAGUGGGCAAUAUAUUAAUAUGUAUUUUUUUGGCACUCAUUUUAUUGUAACCUAUGUUUCAGGUGAUGUUGGUGGCUUUCGGGAAUUUACUAAGAGUGUUUUUUUUAUGGAUUAAUUGUUUUUCUAGUGAUGUGUUGGUGAUUGGAUAUUGUAAAGGAUUUAUUAGAUAUUGUAUACGGAUUUGAUUCACCAUAUAUUUUGUGAUGCUAUUUGUUGGAAGUUUCAAGUGAUUGAAAUUUUUAGCGCAUCACACUAUUUGGUAUUUGAUAGUUUUUAUGAAUUUGAAUGUAAUUUUUAUUUCAAUUAAUUCAAGUUUUAAAUGUGGUUUUUGUUGUUUUUAUUUCAAAAUUCUGGAAUUUAAAUAAUAAUAAUUAAUAUUAUUAUAAUUUCAAAAUUAAAAAUAAUAAUUUUAUUCUUUUUUAAACUUUAAAUCUCAUGACAAAGAAUGUGAAUCAUUGAUAUAUGACAGCUUUUGAAGAAACCCAUCAAAUUCAAAAUAAUUUAAAUACCUGCUAAAAUUUCCAAUUAAUUCUCGAAAGUCUUUCAAAACGACGUCGCUUGGUUCGUGAUACAUGUGUGAUAAAUAUACAUUGUCAUGGGAACAUGUGAUAGAUAAAAUGUUGUCACAGAUUUGUGAGACGGGCUACAAUGACAGAUGGAAACUCUGUCAUAAGAGGGGUCGGAUGAUAGAUAUUCUCUGUCAUGGUAGCCCAUUUUUCUAGUAGUGUUCAAAUAGAAAAAUUAGUACGUUGUCAAUAUAAUUGUCUUAUAUAUGAUGCCAACAAUGAAACUAAACAAUCAUUCCCUUUAGCAUCCUUUUGGAAAAAUCUCUAUAACAAAUUGGAACAUUUUAAAAACUCAAAUCUUCAUAAAAAGUGGAGUGAGGAGUACCAUUAAUGAGUAAGUCCUGUGUUCGCACUUACAAAUACAAACACAAAGAUUAAAAUAAAUUUGAUCACUCACUAAUUGGAGUAUUUAUGUUAAACUUAUAGUUAUGUUUGGCCCUAAAAGUAUGCAAUAAAAUAACAUCAUUUUCAUAUACAAAAUUUUAUUUAUUCAUUGUUUAUUUUGACCGAACAUUAUUAGACUUAGUUUAUGAAGCAUGUAUUUUAUAUAUUGAUAAUUCUGCUGUACGGCCAAGGCGGAUGUACGGUACAGCAGGCCUAUCUAUCUUUUUUUGGUUUUUGUAUAUAUAUAACUCAUGAGAUUUAUAAUUUUUCAUUAUCAUGUUAACCCCUGGUCUGGACUGUCCUAAUAUUUAAACUUCUUUCCACCAUUUUCAAUUCUUAAAUUGACCAAUAUUUAUCUCAAUGUGUCCCUUUACUUGCCCAUUGAAUUUUGCAUCAAGGAUCUGAUGUGGUAGAAGAGAAGCUAACAAUUUAUGCGCUCGACAAUGUCUUUGCCUUUUGAAUUGAUUGAGAGAUCAUCAUUUCUUCACCCACUGGAAACUUUAGAUUAUGCUUUACGCUUUGGGCUUAUACUGGCAAGCCUACAAUCAUGGUAUUAAAGUUGGUAGAUUGAGGAGAUUCUGGUGAUUCCAGAAUUUUCUACAUUUUCUCUUUAUCUUUUGGAUUUUUAGAACUUUUUCCUUUCUUUUUAUUAGCUUGAUUUUGAUGGAUUUUAUUUAAUUAUAUAUGGAAGGUUAGAUGUUGUGCAUUAAUUAAAUUAUAGUCUUGAAAAAAUACUCUUUAAAAAAAUUCAUCUAGAAAUUUAGAAUUGAAAUCUGUCGAAGGCUAGACUAAAAGUUCUCUUCUCGUCUUUGGCAUUGCACUUGGUUUUAUAUUUCUCUUUACUAUGUACUCUGUUGCAAAAUAUUUUGUUUAUACUUAAUCUUUUAUAAUCCAGCAACUCUUAUGAAGACCUAGUCAACUGUCACUGCUACAUAAGCAUUCAGGUUAUGCUGCUUUAUCAUCAUUUUUAUUUUCUUCCAUUUUUCUCUUUUACAGCUUGUGAGCUUACUGCUUCAUUAUGUCAAUUUUCUGAAUGUGAUUUUUUAUUUUCUCUUGGGUUGUUUAUUCUCAUUUUCCCUUUAGUAUCAAAGCUGAUUAAAUCAAUUAGACACUGAUGAAUUUUAUUAUGAAUUUGAUUAAUUGUAAGUGGGCAAUAUAUUAAUAUGUAUUUUUUUGGCACUCAUUUUAUUGUAACCUAUGUUUCAGGUGAUGUUGGUGGCUUUCGGGAAUUUACUAAGAGUGUUUUUUUUAUGGAUUAAUUGUUUUUCUAGUGAUGUGUUGGUGAUUGGAUAUUGUAAAGGAUUUAUUAGAUAUUGUAUACGGAUUUGAUUCACCAUAUAUUUUGUGAUGCUAUUUGUUGGAAGUUUCAAGUGAUUGAAAUUUUUAGCGCAUCACACUAUUUGGUAUUUGAUAGUUUUUAUGAAUUUGAAUGUAAUUUUUAUUUCAAUUAAUUCAAGUUUUAAAUGUGGUUUUUGUUGUUUUUAUUUCAAAAUUCUGGAAUUUAAAUAAUAAUAAUUAAUAUUAUUAUAAUUUCAAAAUUAAAAAUAAUAAUUUUAUUCUUUUUUAAACUUUAAAUCUCAUGACAAAGAAUGUGAAUCAUUGAUAUAUGACAGCUUUUGAAGAAACCCAUCAAAUUCAAAAUAAUUUAAAUACCUGCUAAAAUUUCCAAUUAAUUCUCGAAAGUCUUUCAAAACGACGUCGCUUGGUUCGUGAUACAUGUGUGAUAAAUAUACAUUGUCAUGGGAACAUGUGAUAGAUAAAAUGUUGUCACAGAUUUGUGAGACGGGCUACAAUGACAGAUGGAAACUCUGUCAUAAGAGGGGUCGGAUGAUAGAUAUUCUCUGUCAUGGUAGCCCAUUUUUCUAGUAGUGUUCAAAUAGAAAAAUUAGUACGUUGUCAAUAUAAUUGUCUUAUAUAUGAUGCCAACAAUGAAACUAAACAAUCAUUCCCUUUAGCAUCCUUUUGGAAAAAUCUCUAUAACAAAUUGGAACAUUUUAAAAACUCAAAUCUUCAUAAAAAGUGGAGUGAGGAGUACCAUUAAUGAGUAAGUCCUGUGUUCGCACUUACAAAUACAAACACAAAGAUUAAAAUAAAUUUGAUCACUCACUAAUUGGAGUAUUUAUGUUAAACUUAUAGUUAUGUUUGGCCCUAAAAGUAUGCAAUAAAAUAACAUCAUUUUCAUAUACAAAAUUUUAUUUAUUCAUUGUUUAUUUUGACCGAACAUUAUUAGACUUAGUUUAUGAAGCAUGUAUUUUAUAUAUUGAUAAUUCUGCUGUACGGCCAAGGCGGAUGUACGGUACAGCAGGCCUAUCUAUCUUUUUUUGGUUUUUGUAUAUAUAUAACUCAUGAGAUUUAUAAUUUUUCAUUAUCAUGUUAACCCCUGGUCUGGACUGUCCUAAUAUUUAAACUUCUUUCCACCAUUUUCAAUUCUUAAAUUGACCAAUAUUUAUCUCAAUGUGUCCCUUUACUUGCCCAUUGAAUUUUGCAUCAAGGAUCUGAUGUGGUAGAAGAGAAGCUAACAAUUUAUGCGCUCGACAAUGUCUUUGCCUUUUGAAUUGAUUGAGAGAUCAUCAUUUCUUCACCCACUGGAAACUUUAGAUUAUGCUUUACGCUUUGGGCUUAUACUGGCAAGCCUACAAUCAUGGUAUUAAAGUUGGUAGAUUGAGGAGAUUCUGGUGAUUCCAGAAUUUUCUACAUUUUCUCUUUAUCUUUUGGAUUUUUAGAACUUUUUCCUUUCUUUUUAUUAGCUUGAUUUUGAUGGAUUUUAUUUAAUUAUAUAUGGAAGGUUAGAUGUUGUGCAUUAAUUAAAUUAUAGUCUUGAAAAAAUACUCUUUAAAAAAAUUCAUCUAGAAAUUUAGAAUUGAAAUCUGUCGAAGGCUAGACUAAAAGUUCUCUUCUCGUCUUUGGCAUUGCACUUGGUUUUAUAUUUCUCUUUACUAUGUACUCUGUUGCAAAAUAUUUUGUUUAUACUUAAUCUUUUAUAAUCCAGCAACUCUUAUGAAGACCUAGUCAACUGUCACUGCUACAUAAGCAUUCAGGUUAUGCUGCUUUAUCAUCAUUUUUAUUUUCUUCCAUUUUUCUCUUUUACAGCUUGUGAGCUUACUGCUUCAUUAUGUCAAUUUUCUGAAUGUGAUUUUUUAUUUUCUCUUGGGUUGUUUAUUCUCAUUUUCCCUUUAGUAUCAAAGCUGAUUAAAUCAAUUAGACACUGAUGAAUUUUAUUAUGAAUUUGAUUAAUUGUAAGUGGGCAAUAUAUUAAUAUGUAUUUUUUUGGCACUCAUUUUAUUGUAACCUAUGUUUCAGGUGAUGUUGGUGGCUUUCGGGAAUUUACUAAGAGUGUUUUUUUUAUGGAUUAAUUGUUUUUCUAGUGAUGUGUUGGUGAUUGGAUAUUGUAAAGGAUUUAUUAGAUAUUGUAUACGGAUUUGAUUCACCAUAUAUUUUGUGAUGCUAUUUGUUGGAAGUUUCAAGUGAUUGAAAUUUUUAGCGCAUCACACUAUUUGGUAUUUGAUAGUUUUUAUGAAUUUGAAUGUAAUUUUUAUUUCAAUUAAUUCAAGUUUUAAAUGUGGUUUUUGUUGUUUUUAUUUCAAAAUUCUGGAAUUUAAAUAAUAAUAAUUAAUAUUAUUAUAAUUUCAAAAUUAAAAAUAAUAAUUUUAUUCUUUUUUAAACUUUAAAUCUCAUGACAAAGAAUGUGAAUCAUUGAUAUAUGACAGCUUUUGAAGAAACCCAUCAAAUUCAAAAUAAUUUAAAUACCUGCUAAAAUUUCCAAUUAAUUCUCGAAAGUCUUUCAAAACGACGUCGCUUGGUUCGUGAUACAUGUGUGAUAAAUAUACAUUGUCAUGGGAACAUGUGAUAGAUAAAAUGUUGUCACAGAUUUGUGAGACGGGCUACAAUGACAGAUGGAAACUCUGUCAUAAGAGGGGUCGGAUGAUAGAUAUUCUCUGUCAUGGUAGCCCAUUUUUCUAGUAGUGUUCAAAUAGAAAAAUUAGUACGUUGUCAAUAUAAUUGUCUUAUAUAUGAUGCCAACAAUGAAACUAAACAAUCAUUCCCUUUAGCAUCCUUUUGGAAAAAUCUCUAUAACAAAUUGGAACAUUUUAAAAACUCAAAUCUUCAUAAAAAGUGGAGUGAGGAGUACCAUUAAUGAGUAAGUCCUGUGUUCGCACUUACAAAUACAAACACAAAGAUUAAAAUAAAUUUGAUCACUCACUAAUUGGAGUAUUUAUGUUAAACUUAUAGUUAUGUUUGGCCCUAAAAGUAUGCAAUAAAAUAACAUCAUUUUCAUAUACAAAAUUUUAUUUAUUCAUUGUUUAUUUUGACCGAACAUUAUUAGACUUAGUUUAUGAAGCAUGUAUUUUAUAUAUUGAUAAUUCUGCUGUACGGCCAAGGCGGAUGUACGGUACAGCAGGCCUAUCUAUCUUUUUUUGGUUUUUGUAUAUAUAUAACUCAUGAGAUUUAUAAUUUUUCAUUAUCAUGUUAACCCCUGGUCUGGACUGUCCUAAUAUUUAAACUUCUUUCCACCAUUUUCAAUUCUUAAAUUGACCAAUAUUUAUCUCAAUGUGUCCCUUUACUUGCCCAUUGAAUUUUGCAUCAAGGAUCUGAUGUGGUAGAAGAGAAGCUAACAAUUUAUGCGCUCGACAAUGUCUUUGCCUUUUGAAUUGAUUGAGAGAUCAUCAUUUCUUCACCCACUGGAAACUUUAGAUUAUGCUUUACGCUUUGGGCUUAUACUGGCAAGCCUACAAUCAUGGUAUUAAAGUUGGUAGAUUGAGGAGAUUCUGGUGAUUCCAGAAUUUUCUACAUUUUCUCUUUAUCUUUUGGAUUUUUAGAACUUUUUCCUUUCUUUUUAUUAGCUUGAUUUUGAUGGAUUUUAUUUAAUUAUAUAUGGAAGGUUAGAUGUUGUGCAUUAAUUAAAUUAUAGUCUUGAAAAAAUACUCUUUAAAAAAAUUCAUCUAGAAAUUUAGAAUUGAAAUCUGUCGAAGGCUAGACUAAAAGUUCUCUUCUCGUCUUUGGCAUUGCACUUGGUUUUAUAUUUCUCUUUACUAUGUACUCUGUUGCAAAAUAUUUUGUUUAUACUUAAUCUUUUAUAAUCCAGCAACUCUUAUGAAGACCUAGUCAACUGUCACUGCUACAUAAGCAUUCAGGUUAUGCUGCUUUAUCAUCAUUUUUAUUUUCUUCCAUUUUUCUCUUUUACAGCUUGUGAGCUUACUGCUUCAUUAUGUCAAUUUUCUGAAUGUGAUUUUUUAUUUUCUCUUGGGUUGUUUAUUCUCAUUUUCCCUUUAGUAUCAAAGCUGAUUAAAUCAAUUAGACACUGAUGAAUUUUAUUAUGAAUUUGAUUAAUUGUAAGUGGGCAAUAUAUUAAUAUGUAUUUUUUUGGCACUCAUUUUAUUGUAACCUAUGUUUCAGGUGAUGUUGGUGGCUUUCGGGAAUUUACUAAGAGUGUUUUUUUUAUGGAUUAAUUGUUUUUCUAGUGAUGUGUUGGUGAUUGGAUAUUGUAAAGGAUUUAUUAGAUAUUGUAUACGGAUUUGAUUCACCAUAUAUUUUGUGAUGCUAUUUGUUGGAAGUUUCAAGUGAUUGAAAUUUUUAGCGCAUCACACUAUUUGGUAUUUGAUAGUUUUUAUGAAUUUGAAUGUAAUUUUUAUUUCAAUUAAUUCAAGUUUUAAAUGUGGUUUUUGUUGUUUUUAUUUCAAAAUUCUGGAAUUUAAAUAAUAAUAAUUAAUAUUAUUAUAAUUUCAAAAUUAAAAAUAAUAAUUUUAUUCUUUUUUAAACUUUAAAUCUCAUGACAAAGAAUGUGAAUCAUUGAUAUAUGACAGCUUUUGAAGAAACCCAUCAAAUUCAAAAUAAUUUAAAUACCUGCUAAAAUUUCCAAUUAAUUCUCGAAAGUCUUUCAAAACGACGUCGCUUGGUUCGUGAUACAUGUGUGAUAAAUAUACAUUGUCAUGGGAACAUGUGAUAGAUAAAAUGUUGUCACAGAUUUGUGAGACGGGCUACAAUGACAGAUGGAAACUCUGUCAUAAGAGGGGUCGGAUGAUAGAUAUUCUCUGUCAUGGUAGCCCAUUUUUCUAGUAGUGUUCAAAUAGAAAAAUUAGUACGUUGUCAAUAUAAUUGUCUUAUAUAUGAUGCCAACAAUGAAACUAAACAAUCAUUCCCUUUAGCAUCCUUUUGGAAAAAUCUCUAUAACAAAUUGGAACAUUUUAAAAACUCAAAUCUUCAUAAAAAGUGGAGUGAGGAGUACCAUUAAUGAGUAAGUCCUGUGUUCGCACUUACAAAUACAAACACAAAGAUUAAAAUAAAUUUGAUCACUCACUAAUUGGAGUAUUUAUGUUAAACUUAUAGUUAUGUUUGGCCCUAAAAGUAUGCAAUAAAAUAACAUCAUUUUCAUAUACAAAAUUUUAUUUAUUCAUUGUUUAUUUUGACCGAACAUUAUUAGACUUAGUUUAUGAAGCAUGUAUUUUAUAUAUUGAUAAUUCUGCUGUACGGCCAAGGCGGAUGUACGGUACAGCAGGCCUAUCUAUCUUUUUUUGGUUUUUGUAUAUAUAUAACUCAUGAGAUUUAUAAUUUUUCAUUAUCAUGUUAACCCCUGGUCUGGACUGUCCUAAUAUUUAAACUUCUUUCCACCAUUUUCAAUUCUUAAAUUGACCAAUAUUUAUCUCAAUGUGUCCCUUUACUUGCCCAUUGAAUUUUGCAUCAAGGAUCUGAUGUGGUAGAAGAGAAGCUAACAAUUUAUGCGCUCGACAAUGUCUUUGCCUUUUGAAUUGAUUGAGAGAUCAUCAUUUCUUCACCCACUGGAAACUUUAGAUUAUGCUUUACGCUUUGGGCUUAUACUGGCAAGCCUACAAUCAUGGUAUUAAAGUUGGUAGAUUGAGGAGAUUCUGGUGAUUCCAGAAUUUUCUACAUUUUCUCUUUAUCUUUUGGAUUUUUAGAACUUUUUCCUUUCUUUUUAUUAGCUUGAUUUUGAUGGAUUUUAUUUAAUUAUAUAUGGAAGGUUAGAUGUUGUGCAUUAAUUAAAUUAUAGUCUUGAAAAAAUACUCUUUAAAAAAAUUCAUCUAGAAAUUUAGAAUUGAAAUCUGUCGAAGGCUAGACUAAAAGUUCUCUUCUCGUCUUUGGCAUUGCACUUGGUUUUAUAUUUCUCUUUACUAUGUACUCUGUUGCAAAAUAUUUUGUUUAUACUUAAUCUUUUAUAAUCCAGCAACUCUUAUGAAGACCUAGUCAACUGUCACUGCUACAUAAGCAUUCAGGUUAUGCUGCUUUAUCAUCAUUUUUAUUUUCUUCCAUUUUUCUCUUUUACAGCUUGUGAGCUUACUGCUUCAUUAUGUCAAUUUUCUGAAUGUGAUUUUUUAUUUUCUCUUGGGUUGUUUAUUCUCAUUUUCCCUUUAGUAUCAAAGCUGAUUAAAUCAAUUAGACACUGAUGAAUUUUAUUAUGAAUUUGAUUAAUUGUAAGUGGGCAAUAUAUUAAUAUGUAUUUUUUUGGCACUCAUUUUAUUGUAACCUAUGUUUCAGGUGAUGUUGGUGGCUUUCGGGAAUUUACUAAGAGUGUUUUUUUUAUGGAUUAAUUGUUUUUCUAGUGAUGUGUUGGUGAUUGGAUAUUGUAAAGGAUUUAUUAGAUAUUGUAUACGGAUUUGAUUCACCAUAUAUUUUGUGAUGCUAUUUGUUGGAAGUUUCAAGUGAUUGAAAUUUUUAGCGCAUCACACUAUUUGGUAUUUGAUAGUUUUUAUGAAUUUGAAUGUAAUUUUUAUUUCAAUUAAUUCAAGUUUUAAAUGUGGUUUUUGUUGUUUUUAUUUCAAAAUUCUGGAAUUUAAAUAAUAAUAAUUAAUAUUAUUAUAAUUUCAAAAUUAAAAAUAAUAAUUUUAUUCUUUUUUAAACUUUAAAUCUCAUGACAAAGAAUGUGAAUCAUUGAUAUAUGACAGCUUUUGAAGAAACCCAUCAAAUUCAAAAUAAUUUAAAUACCUGCUAAAAUUUCCAAUUAAUUCUCGAAAGUCUUUCAAAACGACGUCGCUUGGUUCGUGAUACAUGUGUGAUAAAUAUACAUUGUCAUGGGAACAUGUGAUAGAUAAAAUGUUGUCACAGAUUUGUGAGACGGGCUACAAUGACAGAUGGAAACUCUGUCAUAAGAGGGGUCGGAUGAUAGAUAUUCUCUGUCAUGGUAGCCCAUUUUUCUAGUAGUGUUCAAAUAGAAAAAUUAGUACGUUGUCAAUAUAAUUGUCUUAUAUAUGAUGCCAACAAUGAAACUAAACAAUCAUUCCCUUUAGCAUCCUUUUGGAAAAAUCUCUAUAACAAAUUGGAACAUUUUAAAAACUCAAAUCUUCAUAAAAAGUGGAGUGAGGAGUACCAUUAAUGAGUAAGUCCUGUGUUCGCACUUACAAAUACAAACACAAAGAUUAAAAUAAAUUUGAUCACUCACUAAUUGGAGUAUUUAUGUUAAACUUAUAGUUAUGUUUGGCCCUAAAAGUAUGCAAUAAAAUAACAUCAUUUUCAUAUACAAAAUUUUAUUUAUUCAUUGUUUAUUUUGACCGAACAUUAUUAGACUUAGUUUAUGAAGCAUGUAUUUUAUAUAUUGAUAAUUCUGCUGUACGGCCAAGGCGGAUGUACGGUACAGCAGGCCUAUCUAUCUUUUUUUGGUUUUUGUAUAUAUAUAACUCAUGAGAUUUAUAAUUUUUCAUUAUCAUGUUAACCCCUGGUCUGGACUGUCCUAAUAUUUAAACUUCUUUCCACCAUUUUCAAUUCUUAAAUUGACCAAUAUUUAUCUCAAUGUGUCCCUUUACUUGCCCAUUGAAUUUUGCAUCAAGGAUCUGAUGUGGUAGAAGAGAAGCUAACAAUUUAUGCGCUCGACAAUGUCUUUGCCUUUUGAAUUGAUUGAGAGAUCAUCAUUUCUUCACCCACUGGAAACUUUAGAUUAUGCUUUACGCUUUGGGCUUAUACUGGCAAGCCUACAAUCAUGGUAUUAAAGUUGGUAGAUUGAGGAGAUUCUGGUGAUUCCAGAAUUUUCUACAUUUUCUCUUUAUCUUUUGGAUUUUUAGAACUUUUUCCUUUCUUUUUAUUAGCUUGAUUUUGAUGGAUUUUAUUUAAUUAUAUAUGGAAGGUUAGAUGUUGUGCAUUAAUUAAAUUAUAGUCUUGAAAAAAUACUCUUUAAAAAAAUUCAUCUAGAAAUUUAGAAUUGAAAUCUGUCGAAGGCUAGACUAAAAGUUCUCUUCUCGUCUUUGGCAUUGCACUUGGUUUUAUAUUUCUCUUUACUAUGUACUCUGUUGCAAAAUAUUUUGUUUAUACUUAAUCUUUUAUAAUCCAGCAACUCUUAUGAAGACCUAGUCAACUGUCACUGCUACAUAAGCAUUCAGGUUAUGCUGCUUUAUCAUCAUUUUUAUUUUCUUCCAUUUUUCUCUUUUACAGCUUGUGAGCUUACUGCUUCAUUAUGUCAAUUUUCUGAAUGUGAUUUUUUAUUUUCUCUUGGGUUGUUUAUUCUCAUUUUCCCUUUAGUAUCAAAGCUGAUUAAAUCAAUUAGACACUGAUGAAUUUUAUUAUGAAUUUGAUUAAUUGUAAGUGGGCAAUAUAUUAAUAUGUAUUUUUUUGGCACUCAUUUUAUUGUAACCUAUGUUUCAGGUGAUGUUGGUGGCUUUCGGGAAUUUACUAAGAGUGUUUUUUUUAUGGAUUAAUUGUUUUUCUAGUGAUGUGUUGGUGAUUGGAUAUUGUAAAGGAUUUAUUAGAUAUUGUAUACGGAUUUGAUUCACCAUAUAUUUUGUGAUGCUAUUUGUUGGAAGUUUCAAGUGAUUGAAAUUUUUAGCGCAUCACACUAUUUGGUAUUUGAUAGUUUUUAUGAAUUUGAAUGUAAUUUUUAUUUCAAUUAAUUCAAGUUUUAAAUGUGGUUUUUGUUGUUUUUAUUUCAAAAUUCUGGAAUUUAAAUAAUAAUAAUUAAUAUUAUUAUAAUUUCAAAAUUAAAAAUAAUAAUUUUAUUCUUUUUUAAACUUUAAAUCUCAUGACAAAGAAUGUGAAUCAUUGAUAUAUGACAGCUUUUGAAGAAACCCAUCAAAUUCAAAAUAAUUUAAAUACCUGCUAAAAUUUCCAAUUAAUUCUCGAAAGUCUUUCAAAACGACGUCGCUUGGUUCGUGAUACAUGUGUGAUAAAUAUACAUUGUCAUGGGAACAUGUGAUAGAUAAAAUGUUGUCACAGAUUUGUGAGACGGGCUACAAUGACAGAUGGAAACUCUGUCAUAAGAGGGGUCGGAUGAUAGAUAUUCUCUGUCAUGGUAGCCCAUUUUUCUAGUAGUGUUCAAAUAGAAAAAUUAGUACGUUGUCAAUAUAAUUGUCUUAUAUAUGAUGCCAACAAUGAAACUAAACAAUCAUUCCCUUUAGCAUCCUUUUGGAAAAAUCUCUAUAACAAAUUGGAACAUUUUAAAAACUCAAAUCUUCAUAAAAAGUGGAGUGAGGAGUACCAUUAAUGAGUAAGUCCUGUGUUCGCACUUACAAAUACAAACACAAAGAUUAAAAUAAAUUUGAUCACUCACUAAUUGGAGUAUUUAUGUUAAACUUAUAGUUAUGUUUGGCCCUAAAAGUAUGCAAUAAAAUAACAUCAUUUUCAUAUACAAAAUUUUAUUUAUUCAUUGUUUAUUUUGACCGAACAUUAUUAGACUUAGUUUAUGAAGCAUGUAUUUUAUAUAUUGAUAAUUCUGCUGUACGGCCAAGGCGGAUGUACGGUACAGCAGGCCUAUCUAUCUUUUUUUGGUUUUUGUAUAUAUAUAACUCAUGAGAUUUAUAAUUUUUCAUUAUCAUGUUAACCCCUGGUCUGGACUGUCCUAAUAUUUAAACUUCUUUCCACCAUUUUCAAUUCUUAAAUUGACCAAUAUUUAUCUCAAUGUGUCCCUUUACUUGCCCAUUGAAUUUUGCAUCAAGGAUCUGAUGUGGUAGAAGAGAAGCUAACAAUUUAUGCGCUCGACAAUGUCUUUGCCUUUUGAAUUGAUUGAGAGAUCAUCAUUUCUUCACCCACUGGAAACUUUAGAUUAUGCUUUACGCUUUGGGCUUAUACUGGCAAGCCUACAAUCAUGGUAUUAAAGUUGGUAGAUUGAGGAGAUUCUGGUGAUUCCAGAAUUUUCUACAUUUUCUCUUUAUCUUUUGGAUUUUUAGAACUUUUUCCUUUCUUUUUAUUAGCUUGAUUUUGAUGGAUUUUAUUUAAUUAUAUAUGGAAGGUUAGAUGUUGUGCAUUAAUUAAAUUAUAGUCUUGAAAAAAUACUCUUUAAAAAAAUUCAUCUAGAAAUUUAGAAUUGAAAUCUGUCGAAGGCUAGACUAAAAGUUCUCUUCUCGUCUUUGGCAUUGCACUUGGUUUUAUAUUUCUCUUUACUAUGUACUCUGUUGCAAAAUAUUUUGUUUAUACUUAAUCUUUUAUAAUCCAGCAACUCUUAUGAAGACCUAGUCAACUGUCACUGCUACAUAAGCAUUCAGGUUAUGCUGCUUUAUCAUCAUUUUUAUUUUCUUCCAUUUUUCUCUUUUACAGCUUGUGAGCUUACUGCUUCAUUAUGUCAAUUUUCUGAAUGUGAUUUUUUAUUUUCUCUUGGGUUGUUUAUUCUCAUUUUCCCUUUAGUAUCAAAGCUGAUUAAAUCAAUUAGACACUGAUGAAUUUUAUUAUGAAUUUGAUUAAUUGUAAGUGGGCAAUAUAUUAAUAUGUAUUUUUUUGGCACUCAUUUUAUUGUAACCUAUGUUUCAGGUGAUGUUGGUGGCUUUCGGGAAUUUACUAAGAGUGUUUUUUUUAUGGAUUAAUUGUUUUUCUAGUGAUGUGUUGGUGAUUGGAUAUUGUAAAGGAUUUAUUAGAUAUUGUAUACGGAUUUGAUUCACCAUAUAUUUUGUGAUGCUAUUUGUUGGAAGUUUCAAGUGAUUGAAAUUUUUAGCGCAUCACACUAUUUGGUAUUUGAUAGUUUUUAUGAAUUUGAAUGUAAUUUUUAUUUCAAUUAAUUCAAGUUUUAAAUGUGGUUUUUGUUGUUUUUAUUUCAAAAUUCUGGAAUUUAAAUAAUAAUAAUUAAUAUUAUUAUAAUUUCAAAAUUAAAAAUAAUAAUUUUAUUCUUUUUUAAACUUUAAAUCUCAUGACAAAGAAUGUGAAUCAUUGAUAUAUGACAGCUUUUGAAGAAACCCAUCAAAUUCAAAAUAAUUUAAAUACCUGCUAAAAUUUCCAAUUAAUUCUCGAAAGUCUUUCAAAACGACGUCGCUUGGUUCGUGAUACAUGUGUGAUAAAUAUACAUUGUCAUGGGAACAUGUGAUAGAUAAAAUGUUGUCACAGAUUUGUGAGACGGGCUACAAUGACAGAUGGAAACUCUGUCAUAAGAGGGGUCGGAUGAUAGAUAUUCUCUGUCAUGGUAGCCCAUUUUUCUAGUAGUGUUCAAAUAGAAAAAUUAGUACGUUGUCAAUAUAAUUGUCUUAUAUAUGAUGCCAACAAUGAAACUAAACAAUCAUUCCCUUUAGCAUCCUUUUGGAAAAAUCUCUAUAACAAAUUGGAACAUUUUAAAAACUCAAAUCUUCAUAAAAAGUGGAGUGAGGAGUACCAUUAAUGAGUAAGUCCUGUGUUCGCACUUACAAAUACAAACACAAAGAUUAAAAUAAAUUUGAUCACUCACUAAUUGGAGUAUUUAUGUUAAACUUAUAGUUAUGUUUGGCCCUAAAAGUAUGCAAUAAAAUAACAUCAUUUUCAUAUACAAAAUUUUAUUUAUUCAUUGUUUAUUUUGACCGAACAUUAUUAGACUUAGUUUAUGAAGCAUGUAUUUUAUAUAUUGAUAAUUAAUUUCAUUUCAAUAUUGGAUGAUAUAAAUCACAAAUUUUUUAUGAAUAAAAAAUUGUACAUAGUCAUUAAUGAAUUGGACAUGUCAUUAUGUACGUAAUUUUAUACUUUUCCUAUCUCUACAAUGAGUGAUUUUUUCUUGAUCGCUAAAUUGGAGAUUUCAAGUAGAAAAGUUAAUUUGUUGUCAAUAUAAUAGUAAUACAUAUGAUGCCAACAAUGAAACAUAACAAUCAUUUCCUUUGUCAUCCUUAUAGAAAAAUCUCUAUAAUAAACUGGAACAUUUAAAAUCUUAAGUGUUUAUAAAAUAUGGAGUGAGGACCAUUAACGAAUAAGUCAUGUUCAUAUUUACAAAAACAAGCACAGAAGCACAAACACAAAAAUUGAAAUAAAUGUGAGAACAGAUAACUAUUUUUGAAAUAAUGCCCAUUACGAGCAUUACUGGUCUUUAUUGUUUGUAACCGCUACUUGAAACGCCUUUAGUGCUGCAACUAUUUGCUACUUUCUUGAAAUCCCAUCUUCGCACCAAACCAAUCUUCAAACCCGGCUAAUAAUUACUUCAUUUUAGAGCAAUUCGGAAGUCUUGUCACAAAUUUUCACCCCGAUAAGUCAGGGGUUUACUUGAUACAAAUAAAUAAACUAUUUCUUUCCGUAAGAAAUUGGUGUAAAAUCGAUUAUCCAGAUGUUAUUAUCCCAAUUUAUGAAUCUUAAUUUUCAUGAUGAGAAAUUAUGCCCCUAUUAACCAUACAAAAUAAAUUUUAAAAAUAAAAUAAAAUAAAAUAAAACCAUACAGAGUAUACAAAAAGAGAGCGGUUAAUAUUUAUUAUUAUUGUUGAAAUAAUUUAUUGAAAUUCACCUAGUGUCUGUUUAAUCUUUAUAUUUUAAAAAAUAACUCAAGACACCCUUACCGUUGAAUAUGUUACACUUAUAUCCUUACUUUUUCUUUUAAUUUAUAAUAAUAUUCUUACAACAUUAUUCUUGAGAAUAUUAAUAAAAAAUAAUUUAUUAUAUUAAACUUAAAAGUAACAUAAAAAUUAACACAAAUUUUUAUAUUAUUAUUUUACUUUUGUUAUUUCACGACUUUAUAUCGUAUUAGAAAAGUUUAAGUAACUAGUUUUGCUCCUUGUGGCUAGCUGUUAUUGGCAGCUGGAGCAUGUAAUCUUAAACCCAAUAACUUUAAGAGGAAAAUGUUAAUAAGUAUAAUUAUCACAAAGAAAUCAAAAAUAUAAAAAGUAUAAAAAUCAAAUAAUCUAAAAAUAAAAUUCCACUAUAAAAGAAAAACAAAACUAACAUUACACGAAGGAAAAUGGUCGUUAGUUUCCUGAAUACUUCAAUUAACUUCCUUAAGUUUGUUCCUGCUCCUUUAGUUUGCUGAGACAUACUGCAGUAAAUGAUGACUUUGAACGACUUGUCACUUUCUUCAGGAAAUUAAGGAAUUUGCCCAAAAUUGAAAAGUAAAGUCAUCUCUAACAAAGUUCGAAAAAGUUUCUCAAAACUCACUAACCUCGCUUCCAAUUCCUUCAUUGAUUCGCAUAUAUUCUCUGUUUUUCUUCUAUUAGUUUCUGUUAGGAAUUUUAGCAAACAUUUGAUAUGGAUAACACAAUUAAAAUAAUAGAACAAAGAAUUUCGAUUCCUAAUUUAACUGAAAAAAAAAAUCUGAAUUUCACUUAAUACAAUCACAACUAAAGUAAUCAAAAUUAAAUUAGCUGAGUUAAAAAAUGCAUGCCAUCUUCUCAUUGUUAUCAACCUGCAACUCAAUAUCGAAAAACACCGAACGUGACCCUCUGUUAGCCUUAUGCCUCUUGUCCCCUCCCUCUCCAUAGCCUAACAUCUUCCAUGUGCUUCCUAUUGGUUUUUUACCCAAUAAGUAAAAAAAGAAGGAAAAAAAAAGUUCAAAUAUUUAGCGCGAUUGAGAUUAGAACUGAUCAAGUUCUAUUCAUCUUCCUAGGACGAGAUGAAUGCUGCUCGUCCAGUCUUCCUUAGCAUUUUGCAGCUUCACACCAACAUUUUUUGACUUGGAUUUCUUGAACUGAUCAAGUUGCAGGAAAAUAAUAAUAAUAAUAAUAAAGAUUUGAAAUAGAGAGGCAAAGCUAAACGAGAAAAAGACUUGAGAACUUUAUUUAUUUAUUUAUUUUUGUAUUAGUUUGUUUAGGGUUUUAAUUCUGCUUCAUUUUUUUUUCUGUUAUAUAAAAACUUAGCAUGUUAAUAACUGAAUAUUUUAGAAGUGAGAAAACUAAAAUUAAAAAAAUGAAAAACGUAAAUUAAAUUUCCAGAGAAUUUUUUAAUUAAAUUUUAAAAAAGAAAAAAAUAAAAAAGAAGAACAGUUUCAGUUCUUUUGUAAAUAAUAAAAAAUCAAAAUUAAAUUUUAAUGAAAUAGAAGCUUUAACAAGUUAAAAAAUAUUUAUAAGUCAAGACAAAACUAUAUGCUAUAAUUUUUUAGUUUACUAACUAUAUCUAAUUAUCCAGAACAAUUUAUCAUGAAAGUUGAGGGGCACAGGUUCAAGUUCUACCGCUAUCUAAAAGUUGGUGUUAAGACUUUAGUUUUCCUCUUAUUAAUAGGUAAGGGGAAAUUAAGACUUUAAAUUAUCUCCUAUUAAUAGGCAAGCGUUAAAAGGAGAAUUUAAAAAAAAAAUCUGUGCAAAAAAGUGAAGUCUCUAAAUUAUUAAAAACUAGAGUAAAUAGGAGAAUUAAAAAAAAAAUCCUUAAAAAAAGUGAAGUCUCUAAAUUAUUGAAAACUAAAAGCGUUUGCGAGACUAAUACUUGUGUCUCAAAUUAUUGAACAAAUUUACACAAUUCUUUUAGCUACAAAAUAUUAAUGUCACUGACGACUACAUUUUGUUACACAUAUUUGUUGUUAUAAGAGAUGAUAAACUAUCCAAGAAUGUUAAAAUUUGCAGGAAUUUAUUAGUGCUAAAAAUACGAUGUCUCUGCAUAACGAAUGUCAUUAUGUUCACCAAAAGAAUAAGAAUCAAAUAGCAAAUAAAUGUGUUUUAAAAACAAAAUAACUUGGUCAAAAAGUACAGUAAUAACUAAAACAAAAUAUUCAAUUACUAUUUUUAAGAUUUUGUCGCUAUAGAAUUAUUUGUGACAAAAAAUUUGGGUGCCUAAUUUAGAGAAAGCCAAAAUAAUUUUGGAGACUAAUAUUUUUGUCAUAGCUUGUUUCACCAAAUUUAUACUCUUUUUUAGUUGAUAAUUUUUUGUCGCCUCUAAUUAUUUUUCAUCAUCACAUUUUUUUGUCACAACUGAUAAUUAAUUGUUUGGAGGAAUUGUUUUUCACUAUAUAUAUAUUAUGACCAAUGUAAUAUUUGUCACAAAAAGUUGAAUCAAUGACCAAUUAAUGCAUCCCAAAAUAAGAAUUAUUGGUUAGAAAAUAUAAUAUAAAUUAGAACUAGACUAAUAGUUUGAAAUUGUUGUAAAAAAAUCGUCUUAAAAAGUCAAAUUUCUUAUACUACACAUUGAUAUAUAUUGAUUAAUUUGUUAAUUAAUUUUUUAUUUAUAGAUAAAUUAAUUAAUGUUACGAAUAUCGUUGAAAGAGUAUUAUUAUAAAAAAAAAGAAAAAAAGGAUAAGAAUGUAACAUAUUUAACUGAAGAGGUGUUUUGAGAUAUUUUUUAAAAUAUAAAACUAAACAAACAUUUAACUCAUAAUAUAGGAAUUAAAUAAUCAUUUAUCUUUAUUUUGUAGAUAACUAGUUUUGCUGGAAACUCCCAUAUAUACAACAGAUUUGGAAACACAAUACGCCACUCACAGUCACUUGGAGAAAUUCUCAAAGAGUAAAUAUGGCAGUGAUACUCAAAAAUAUAUUCCGAAUCACUGCUUCCAAGUUGGUCACCAAUAAUAUCCAAAUCUUCACGAAAAGAAGUAUAAAAACUGCCACUUCUGAUGUUCAAAUCAUUUCCACCGAAGCAAUCAAACCUCAUCUCCAACACCAAAACAUCUCAGAACCUAUAAGCUUUCAUUGCCUGAUCAAUUGUGUUCUAAACUUUACGUGUCCCUUGUUUUCUUCUACUCGACCAAUUGCAAACAGCAAGAUCUCAGAAAAAAAUCCGAUUUGUUGAAGCAGUCUCUCGCAAAAUCAUUAACGCACUACUACCCUUUUGCUGGACGAUUGAUUGAUAGCUUUUCAGUCGACUGCAAUGACCAUGGGGCUGCAUUUACUGGGGCUGCAAUUGUUGGCUGUGAUAUAUCAAAGUUUCUUCAACCACCAGAUAUGGAGCUGCUACUACAAUUAAUCCCACCUAGUCCCCAGUUAUCGAAUUUAGAUAUUUCUGAAAGAGAACUUUUGGCAGUCCAAGUAAAUUUGUUCAGCGGCGGUGAAAUGGCAAUUGGUGUUUGUUUUUCGCAUGGAGUGGCCGAUGGUUCAGCAAUAUUUAACUUCAUGAAAACGUCGGGCGAAAUCACUCGUGGGGUGAUUAAUGAUAAUGAUAAUAUUUUCAAUAACAAUGUCGUUUUAGAUUGCACUUCUUUGUUUCCGCCGGUAAAUUUUCCGAAGCCGUAUCAAAUCGUCACAAGCCCACAAUCUUCAGGCAACAUUGUAUUCAAAAGAUUGUUGUUUGAUAGCAAGAAGAUAGCAGCUCUAAAGGAGAAGAUGAAUAAAGAGCUAAUGGGUAAUAAUUUUGAUGAUAGGUUACAAGCAACACGAUUCGGGGUUGCAUCAGCACUCAUUUGGGGUGCCUUCAUUGCUAUUGCUGGGGAAAGAAAGAGGGAAAUUCAUAACAAGUUGUAUUCUCAUGCUAUGUAUUAUACUAUGAAUGUGCGUAACAAGACGAAUCCACCGAUGAUUCCACGGUGCAGGGGUAACAUUUUUUGGUUUGCAAGGGCAGAAUGGUCACUAGCCGAGAAUGAUGCCAUAAAGGUAGCAAGUUUAGUAAGAGAAGUGAUCAAAGCAAAGAGAAUGGGAGGAGAAGUGAUGCAUAGUAAUGAGCACUUAGGUUUCAUAAAGGAUAUGGAAGAAACAUGGGAGGAUUCAAGGUCGUUUGUUUUAACUAGUGUGGUUGGAUUGCCUUGUUAUGAAGUUGAUUUUGGCUGGGGGAAGCCUGUUUGGUUCAGUGUCGGGCCCUUCUUAUUACUUGAUUUUGCAAUUUUAUCAAGCUCAAGCGAUGGUGAAGGAAUAGAAGCAUGGGUGGUAAUGUUUAAGGAGGACAUGGAUAAAUUUGAACAAGAACCUAGCAUCAAGGCUUAUGCUUCCUCUAACCCUAGCAUAUUUAUAGGGAAGUAGGAAGUUAAUUUUAUGUAUGUUGCUUUGAAUAAAAGAGUUUUUUUUCCUAAAUAGAGUAAUGAUGAUAUGCUUAUAAAGUUAAAAAUAUGUUUGUUUUACAAUAAUUAUAUCUUGUUAUUGUCAUAUGUCUCUUUAAAUAAAAUCAUGUUAUGAAUGCAUACUUUCUUUCUUUCGAUCAAUGAAACCCACCAACCAUUUUGAUGGUUAUUUUGGACAACGAGAAGGGGAGGAGGAAAAAAAAAUAAAAAUGAAUGUGAUGUAGUUAUUUUGGAUAAGCAUAGCUUCAUAUAGAUGAUUUCGAUAAAUAAAAAAUGUGAAUCAAUUCUGAAUUUGCCAAAUAAAAUGUAUGUGAUGUAGUUUUUUAUCAAGGCAACCAGCAUCUGUGACCAUUGUGUGUUAAAUCUUAAUGGGCACUGAGCCCAUUUGUGAAUAACCGUAAGAACCAUGCUAUUUCCCUCUCCCAGUCCUCACAUUGCCUCUGAAAAGGCAGUGGCUAUUCACCCAACGUUAUUUCUUAUUAAUAAUCCCCACUUUUAUUCCACUGCAAGCAAUUUAAGGAAUCAUAUCGUAUCCAAUUCCUUGCAGAAUUAAAAUUUUCUUUAUCUACUGAGUAUCCAAAUCCUUGAAGAACUAACUAUUUUCUUUCUUUGUACAACUUCUUUUAUCAGUUACAUUAAUUGGUUUAUUAGUUAAAAAAUAAUAAUAAUAAUCACGUGAUCUGCUAAUCUAUUUCCAGAAAAUAAUUCAUUUGUUUUCGAAAAAUAAAUUGAACAAGUACUUAAUAUCGUAAAGGGUGUUAUUGUUUUAAAGGGUAGUUACUGGCAAUCGCGCUCUACUGCCGAUAGCUGAAGACUAAUUAUAAUGUCAUAAUUGAAACCAAGAAAAGCCUUCAAGUCCGCACGAACGUCUAGGAAAGGAGGACACGCGUCCUUUUGUAGAGCAGCGACUGUAUCAGACACUCCCAAAGGCCCAAAGGCAACUGGAACUGAUCUAGCACAACUCAUGAUAAAAGUACAAAAUAUUGUAUAAUUUUUUUAUGGGGCAGGUUCAAUAAGGUUUGAGAAGACAAAAAUAUAAACACAAUUUUUUACAAUAAUUUUGAGUCAUUAGAUUAAACAAAAAAUGAAUGGUUACAAUUAAAUGACGUGAUUGUAUUAAUAUCAGUAAUAAUUUUUUUUCUCUCUUUUCUCAUUAAUACUCUAUUCUCUCUCAUCCUUCUACUGAAUUUGUUAUCUCUCUCCCCUAGUUCUCCACCUCCUACGAAGAAAAACCAAGAGCAAUUGCAAAUAAUUGAAUAACUUUUUCUUUCCAAAUGACAAAUCAUUUAUCCAGAGAGCUCCUUCAUGAAUGUGAAGCAUACGGAAAUCAUUCAAAUCUGAGUACAUUUAGCUAUAAGCAAGUUUCCUUAGUGCUACGAGAAUCCACCAUUAAUGCAUUUGUGACGGAGCAGGUGUAGCGGAAGUAGAAUUGAUAGGGUCGAUAAUAUUAGAUAUCGUUCUAAUAUUGUACAUCGAAGCGUGAUUAGUUCUUAUUUUAAUUAAAAAAAACUCAGUGAGAUUUUAAUAAUGCGUAAAGUGAGAUUAGAUGAUAUUCUAAUUCAAACAACUCUAUAAGAGAGUUUUUUUUUUUUUAUAGAUAAUCCCAAUAGAAAAAAGGGAUUUUAUUGAAUAAUUGAAGUUGAAGUUAUCAAAGCAAUAACAAGACCUCCCUAUUUAUAAUAGAGAAAGCCUACUUCUCUAAAUUAACUUAAAAAUGAAAACUAAAUCACAAUUAUAAUAGAAAUAAAAGAUUAAGAUACAUACCUUAAUUGAUUCUAAUUAUAGAAAAUCCUAAAAUAAUAAAAUUCUUGAAUCCUAAAAUAACAUGCUAUGUCAGUCUCACCCUCUUAAAAGAAAAUCGUCCUCAAGUUUGAAUACAAUCUGAGGAUGAAACUUGUAAUGUAAGACCAAAUCAUCUUGUAAUUUGAACCUAUAGUCUUUGUCAUCAAUCUUUGUCGAAACUUUGAAGGAUUUAUACUUCAUCAAUUUCCUUUGCUUAUACAUUCUUCGAGGCGAUGAAGACUUCAAGAGCGAACAAUGAUCAAAUAACUCUUAACCUUCCCUAUUUGUCGCUCAAUAUGCUUUCCAACAAAUUUUACCUUUCAAAUUAAAUCUUUGCAAACACAACCUUCUUGUCCAUAAUGUAAAUCCGUAGAACCAUUUCGAUCAUUGCAGUUUCUUCAACUUGAUUUUACUACACAACCUCGAUCGUAUUGUUAGGCUUAAUGCUCAAAUCAAGAGUAGGUUGUACUUCUUCUUUAAUAAUAUCUUCAUCUUAGAAAUUGUCUUUUCUUCCGGCAUCUCACACGAGUCUUCUUCCUUAACGACAGGUGGAAAUCAUUGGUACAUCUUUAGGCAUUCUCAUAGAGACACCAUUUUUUGAUUUAAUCUUUGGUUUCUUCAAUUCUUUAAUCACGUCAUUAAAGCUUCUUUUACACUGUGUCUCGAUUUGUGACUUGAUUUGUGUGCUAAAUAAAUUGCAUGUUAUAAAGUGUAGAUAGUGUAUGUAGGCAUCUUAUUUUGAAUUGAAAAGCUUAGCCCCCUAAAAGACCUUGUAAUUAUAUCCUCUUCAAGUUUAUAAUAAUAUUUGCAUCCAUAAAAUUAUUUAAACUCAUAAGCAUAAAAUCAGAUCGCAAAAUAUGCUUCAUAUGGUUCCAUGAUCAAAUUUUGCAUUUGCCUCGGUCAAGUCAAGAAUAUUACAAUUGUUCCCACCAUUCUGAAACACUAAAUCUCAAUUUACAAACAGUAAAUGAAAUUUGUUUUUCUUUAGGAGUACGCAAAACUACAAACCAAUGUUCAACCUUGUCCAACCAACCAAGAAAUUUCUCAGGACGAGUGUGUGCAAAUAAGUCCGACACAUGAUAAAUAGAAGGUAUGGACAAUAGUUUGCCAUUAAUUAUCAAGUUUCCAGACAAUUUCAAAACUCUAAAUAAUGCUCAACUCUUGCAUUUGGUGUCGUUGGCGGUUGGUUGCCAUGUUUUGGACGAGGGGCGUUGGAUCUAGAACAGACAAUAGCUCGGAGCAAGUUCAUGUCGGCUGUGACAAUCAACUUGUGUCAAUUUGAUCGAAAAAGUAACUUGAAGCAAUGGCGACUUAUAGUAAGUGUGGCUGUGAUUCAUGGCGGUUUAUAGCGGAGUUGGCUGUGAUUUGGCUGGUGGUGGUUGGUGAAAGAAAUUCUAUGAAGAGUAUAAUUCUUGUUCUGUAAUUUUAAUGAAUUUUACAGAGUUAUUUAUACAAAAUAAAGACAAAGUAACUGUUGAAAGGCUUAAUAAUAUUAAAGGAAAAUAAGUAACUUCCUAAACUAUUGCACAAUAUCUUUAUAAAAUAGGAAUGAAAUAUUCCUACAUGAUAUUGGCAUUCAAGUGUAAAAAUCGUGCUGGAGAUAUUCCUUGACAAAUAGCUUUGACGUGAGCAAGCUGUGUGGAGUGAUAAACCCUUUGUUGACUUGACCGUUGAUGACUUUCCUUUUGGUAAUCUUGGUCAGCUUGCUUAACAUCCCCCCUCAAGCUGGCAAGUGACAUUUGAUGAACGCCAAGCUUGUAUCUGAAAUCGCGGAACAUGGCUUUUGACAAAGCCUUAGUAAAAACGUCUGCAAUUUGUAACGAAUAAGGGACAAACCUCGUAACCAAGGCACCAUCAGCAACCUUUUCUCUAAUGAAGUGAUAAUCUAAUUCAAUAUGCUUCGAGCGAGCAUGAACUUCGUAACCAAGGCACCAUCAGCAACCUUUUCUCUAAUGAAGUGAUAAUCUAAUUCAAUAUGCUUCGAGCGAGCAUGAAAGACUGGGUUAAUAGUCAUAUACAAGGCACUUAAAUUAUCACUUAAAAUUUGUGGAGGUUGAGCAAGAGGAAUGCCAAUUUCUCGGUACAGGUAUGUGAUCCAUGUGAGUUCUGCUGCUGUAGAAGCAAGGGCUCGGUACUCAGCUUCAGCACUGGAUCUAGAGACAGUUGGCUGUCGUUUUGAAGACCAUGAGAUGCAAUUUGCACCCAUAUAGACACAAUAUCCCGUGGUACUUCUCCGAGUGUCUGGACAGCCUCCCCAAUCAGCAUCACAAAAGGCAGUAAUAUUAAGAGAGCUUUGUUGGAGAAAUCUGAUCCCAUAAUCCAAGCUCCCUUUUAAGUACCUGAGAAUACGUUUAACAGCACGUAAAUUAGCCUCAGUGGGUGUUUGAAAAUGUUGACAUACCUUAUUGACUGCGUGAACGAUGUCCGGCCUUGUUAGAGUGAGAUAUUGGAGCCCUCCAACUAAUCGUCUAUAUUCGGUUGCAUUGACGGGCUUGUGAUCAAUGGGGUUGGCUUGUUCUUUGAUGGCCAUAGGAGUUGACAAACUAGUGCUUUCUAGCAUCUUUGCUUUGGUCAGUAAGUCUUUGGUGUAUUUGGUUUGAGAAACAUAAAUACCUCCAGAGAAAUACCGAAUCUCAAGUCCUAAGAAGAAAUGGAGCUGUCCCAAAUCCUUUAAAGCAAACUCAAUGCUUAGUUGAUGAAUAAGUUGGUCAAUUAAAAAAGUAUUGUUGCCUGUCACCACUAUAUCAUCAACAUAAAUUAGCAUUAGGAUUAAUGAGUCAUUAUUAUGAAAUAUAAAUAAGGAAGAGUCGGCUUUACUGCAUAUGAAACCCAAUUGAAGUAAAUAAUGAGAAAGCCUAUCAAACCAAGCACGGGGUGCUUGUUUAAGACCAUACAAGGACUUGUUAAGCUUACACACAUAAUCAGGAUAUAAAGGAUUAGAGAAACCAGGAGGUUGUUCCAUAAAAAUAGUUUCUUUUAAAAAACCAUGUAAAAAAGCAUUUUUAACAUCAAGUUGUCUCAUGGUCCAAUUUAAUGUUACAGCAAGAGAAAAAAUUAACCGAAUUGUGGUAGGUUUAAUCACAGGACUAAAGGUUUCUUCGAAAUCCAAACCUGGAAUUUGUGUGUAUCCUUGUGCUACAAGACGCGCCUUGUAUUUGUCUAUGGACCCAUCUUCCUUAAACUUAGUUCGAUACACCCAUUUUGAUCCCACUAUGUUUGUAUUCACUGGCCUUGGUACCAAACUCCAUGUAUUAUUCUGAUGGAGAGCAUCAAGCUCUUCUAACAUAGCUGUGCGCCAAUGAGGUUGUCGAAUGGCGGUUUUGAAGUGUUUUGGCUCUAUUGUUGUAGUAAGAGCCAUUUUAUCAACCAACUCAGGGUGAUGACGCAACUUGUGUCUAGUUAUCAUUUGAUGAGUGUUGCUUGUUUCUGGCUCUUUUGGAAUACGAAGAUCUACAAAUAUAUCAAUGCCUUUAGUUGACUGAGGAGUAUUAGUUUCUAACUCCAAAUGAGUGCUGCCAGUUCCUAUAUUGUUCUCUGACUCUUGCUCAAUUAAAGUGAUAUCAAAUUCUUCAAAUGAUGCUGAGCUAGGGCUUAAGCUGGCUUGAUUAUCUGUAGAGGCUGAAUCGGUGUGGAUGACUAUAUCAUGAAUUUCACGUGGGACUUGUUGGCUUGUGUCCAAGUCAUGCAUGUUUGAGUUCAUUGUGUUUUGAAGACCUAUAGAGUUUGGAUUUGCAUGAGCAACUUGUUGUUGGUUUACGUGAAACUCAUGCUGGGCUUGCUGAAAUGGGGAGCUAUUUUCNNNNNNNNNNNNNNNNNNNNNNNNNNNNNNNNNNNNNNNNNNNNNNNNNNNNNNNNNNNNNNNNNNNNNNNNNNNNNNNNNNNNNNNNNNNNNNNNNNNNNNNNNNNNNNNNNNNNNNNNNNNNNNNNNNNNNNNNNNNNNNNNNNNNNNNNNNNNNNNNNNNNNNNNNNNNNNNNNNNNNNNNNNNNNNNNNNNNNNNNNNNNNNNNNNNNNNNNNNNNNNNNNNNNNNNNNNNNNNNNNNNNNNNNNNNNNNNNNNNNNNNNNNNNNNNNNNNNNNNNNNNNNNNNNNNNNNNNNNNNNNNNNNNNNNNNNNNNNNNNNNNNNNNNNNNNNNNNNNNNNNNNNNNNNNNNNNNNNNNNNNNNNNNNNNNNNNNNNNNNNNNNNNNNNNNNNNNNNNNNNNNNNNNNNNNNNNNNNNNNNNNNNNNNNNNNNNNNNNNNNNNNNNNNNNNNNNNNNNNNNNNNNNNNNNNNNNNNNNNNNNNNNNNNNNNNNNNNNNNNNNNNNNNNNNNNNNNNNNNNNNNNNNNNNNNNNNNNNNNNNNNNNNNNNNNNNNNNNNNNNNNNNNNNNNNNNNNNNNNNNNNNNNNNNNNNNNNNNNNNNNNNNNNNNNNNNNNNNNNNNNNNNNNNNNNNNNNNNNNNNNNNNNNNNNNNNNNNNNNNNNNNNNNNNNNNNNNNNNNNNNNNNNNNNNNNNNNNNNNNNNNNNNNNNNNNNNNNNNNNNNNNNNNNNNNNNNNNNNNNNNNNNNNNNNNNNNNNNNNNNNNNNNNNNNNNNNNNNNNNNNNNNNNNNNNNNNNNNNNNNNNNNNNNNNNNNNNNNNNNNNNNNNNNNNNNNNNNNNNNNNNNNNNNNNNNNNNNNNNNNNNNNNNNNNNNNNNNNNNNNNNNNNNNNNNNNNNNNNNNNNNNNNNNNNNNNNNNNNNNNNNNNNNNNNNNNNNNNNNNNNNNNNNNNNNNNNNNNNNNNNNNNNNNNNNNNNNNNNNNNNNNNNNNNNNNNNNNNNNNNNNNNNNNNNNNNNNNNNNNNNNNNNNNNNNNNNNNNNNNNNNNNNNNNNNNNNNNNNNNNNNNNNNNNNNNNNNNNNNNNNNNNNNNNNNNNNNNNNNNNNNNNNNNNNNNNNNNNNNNNNNNNNNNNNNNNNNNNNNNNNNNNNNNNNNNNNNNNNNNNNNNNNNNNNNNNNNNNNNNNNNNNNNNNNNNNNNNNNNNNNNNNNNNNNNNNNNNNNNNNNNNNNNNNNNNNNNNNNNNNNNNNNNNNNNNNNNNNNNNNNNNNNNNNNNNNNNNNNNNNNNNNNNNNNNNNNNNNNNNNNNNNNNNNNNNNNNNNNNNNNNNNNNNNNNNNNNNNNNNNNNNNNNNNNNNNNNNNNNNNNNNNNNNNNNNNNNNNNNNNNNNNNNNNNNNNNNNNNNNNNNNNNNNNNNNNNNNNNNNNNNNNNNNNNNNNNNNNNNNNNNNNNNNNNNNNNNNNNNNNNNNNNNNNNNNNNNNUGUAAUCAAAAUUUAUACCAAAAAGUUUGUAAAAGGGAGUCUUCAUAUUUAAAGUGGACGAAGGUAGCUUAUUAAUAACAUAAACAGCAGUAGAAAAAGCAUCAACCCAAUAUUGUAAUGGCAUAUUUGCAUGAAAGAGCAUUGUCAAACCUGUUUCUAUAAUAUGUCGGUGUUUCCUUUCGGCAACACUAUUUUGUUCAGGAGUUGCAGGACAUGACAAUUGAUGUUGUAUUCCACAUUGACUGAGAUGACUUUGAAAUUCAUUUGAUAUGAAUUCACCUCCUCCAUCACUUUGAAAUAAUUUUAUCCUCUUGUCGAAUCGAUUUUCAACCUGUUUCUGAAACUUGAUAAAAACAUCAAAUAAAUCUGAUUUAUUUUUCAAAGGGUAUAGCCAUGUAUAACGUGUGCAGUCAUCAACAAAGAUAGCAUAAUAUCUAAAACUUUGAACAGAAGAAAUAGGAGCAGGACCCCACAAGUCGCAGUGAAUUUUAUGUAAAGGAACGCUGGAAAUUUUAUUGGAAAAAUUAAAAGGAAGUUUGCAGUUCUUUCCCAUUUGACAACUGGAACAUACAUAAUCUUUCGUAAUCCAAUUUGAAACAUCAAUAAGUUUGUUUUUAUUCAAAAACUUAAUGGACUUGAUUUGGGGGUGUCCCAUUCUUUGAUGCCAUAUGUUGUAAGGUGCUUUCCUGCCUUCAGAUAAGUAUAGGGCUGCAUGAUGUCCUUCAUCUAAAGCAUAAAGCCCUUUUGUCUUAGUUCCCUUUGCCAAGAUGUUUCCCUGAUAAUCCUUAACAACAAACUUGUUAGAUGAAAACUCAAUAAUGCAUGAAUUAUCAUGUGUGAGCUGCUCUACCGAAAGUAAAUUAUUUUUCAAGCCUGGAACCACAAGCACAUUUUUUAAAUAUAGUUUACUAAUGCCAGUGUCUAUGGAGGUGUUUCCUAUAUGUGAAAUAUUAAGACAAUCGCCAUUUCCAACAACAAUGGCAUCAUUCCCUUCAUAAGGUUUAAGUUCAGAAAUUUUACCUGGAUCAUUGACCAUAUGGGUAGUUGCUCCUGAGUCAGCAUAUCCGUCAACAUUCAAUGGCUGUAUGUUUCGGUAAAUGACAAAUUUGACAUAUGACAGUUUCUUCAUUGACUUCCUCAGCUUGUUGUUUGGAUUGAUUCUGAAUUUUCUGCCAAGGCUGUCCAGAAUUAUUUUGCCGAGGUUGCUGCCACUGUUGUCCCGAAUUUCCUUGCCAUGAUUGUUGCCCUUGUUGACUUGGAUUAUUGUUUGAUUUUUGCCAUGACUGACUUGCAUUAUUAUUCCAACUUUUUCCACCAUUGUAGUUGAUUUUUUGACCACUUGAAUCAGCCAAAUUUUGUCCUCCUGCUGCUGUAAAACCACGACCUUUUGAGUUAAAGAAACCUCCAUUUCCACGACCUUUUCCCUUGCCUCGUUGGCUAAAAAAGGCUUGAGCCAGAUUGAUUGUAUUCUUCUUUUCUUCUUCAAAAUUAAUAAGAGUUUGUUCAUGAUUUUCGAGGGCCAUGACAAACUGCUUAAAUGAGGGAUAAGGUGGUUUUGAAAGUUGAGCAAGUUUGAAGUCUUGAUACCUGUAGCCAAGACCUCUUGCAAGACCAAAGACUUUAUCUAAGUCAUUCACUGGUUUAUUUAUUGCAGCCAAACAAUCACAAAUAUGCUUGUAUUUGCGCACAUACUCUUCAACUGAUAGAGAUCCCUUUUUAAACCGAGAGAAUUACUAUAUUUACACAAUUAACCUUGGCUAGAAUUAAUUGUGCAGAUUGGAUGAUAACUAGAGAAUAGAAAUGAAGAAAAGGAAGCACACAACACCGAGAAGAGUAAUAAUUAAUGCUGCCAUUGACGAAAUGUUUUAUAUUACUCUUCUUUCUUGGUAUUUAUUUAUUUACAAUUUUUAAUGUAAAUGUACAGUUGUUGGGCUAAUAUCUUAUUUACUUUUGAACGUAUUAGAUGCCUUUUUUUUUUCUUGGUUCAUAAUAAUUUUGUAGAAAUUCCUCAAGUUUGCCUAAAUGUUUACAGAGUUAUUUAUACAAAAUAAAGACAAAGUAGCCGUUGAAAGGCUUAAUAAUAUUAAAGGAAAAUAAGUAACUUCCUAAACUAUUGCACAAUAUCUUUAUAAAAUAGGAAUGAAAUAUUCCUACAUGAUAUUGGCAUUCAAGUGUAAAAAUCGUGCUGGAGAUAUUCCUUGACAAAUAGCUUUGACGUGAGCAAGCUGUGUGGAGUGAUAAACCCUUUGUUGACUUGACCGUUGAUGACUUUCCUUUUGGUAAUCUUGGUCAGCUUGCUUAACAGUUGGUGAGUAUAAUGGUGGUCAUAUAAAUCCUUUUUCAUUUUUUUUUAAUUGUUGUAUGGAGAAAAAGAGAGAAAAGCAAAAAUUGGGCUGUCGACUACAUAACUCGCUGGGAUAUAUGUACGUUAAGGAAAAUUCUAUGAUACCGUGAUCAAAAUUACAUAUCAAUACUGUGAUAAAUAUAAAUUUUGUAAAUUACAAAUAACACUAUUAAAUGAAAUAUAGAAUAAGUAAAUUAAUAUAAGAGUUGGUGUUUUAAAACUACAAACAAAAAAACUUAUAAAAAUAAUAUAAAACUUAUAAAUCAACAUUAAACUUUGACCUAUAAAAUAGCUAAUCUAAUUUAUUUAAGUAAAAAAAAAAUCACUCAUCAAUUGAAAACAAAAAUUUACAUUGGAAACAAUUAGAAUAAGUUUUAUUAAAUUGGUUUAACUAUAAAUUCUAUAUCUCAUGUUAGGAAAUUUAUAAUUUUUUUUUCAUUUUCUAUCACAAUAUAUGUUUAUUAUAUAACUUAAUUAGUAAAAUUAUUUUUUUUAUGAGGAUCAAGCCAAAAAAAAAUAAAAUAAUUUUUUUAAAAAUUUAAAUUUGAGAAUAAGUUUUAUCUUAAUAAAAUUUCACAUGCAUCAUCACAUGUAUUAGAUAAAUCCAAAAUUAUCAUUAUUUAAUUUAGAAAUAAAGACAAUAAAUAUAUAAGGUAAUCGUUUUUAUAUUGAGUUUUUAUUUUACAUUUGCAAGUUUUUAUUUUUUAUUAACUUUUAUAUUAUUUGUUUGUUUUAUAUUUCAUUUACAAGUCUUCUAUUUCAUUUACAUAAUUUAUAUAUUAUUUGGCACUUAAUUUUGGUUUAUAGGAUUUACGUUAUAUCUAUAAGUUUAUAUUCAUUUGUUUACCAAUAAUACAUCAUUCUACCAUUCAUAUAUUAAUUAACUUAUUUUACCUUCUAUUUACAAGUCCCUUUUUUUUUACUUAAUUCAUGUUUUAUUUUACACUUAAUAUUAAUUUAUAAGUUUUAUGUUAUAUUAAUAAGUUUUGUUUUAUUUAUCAAUAAUAUAUCAAUUUACAACUCCUUUAUUAAUUUAUUUAUUUUACCUUUCAUUUACUAGUUUUAUGUUCCAUUUGCACGAUUUAUAUUUUAUUUUGCACUUAAUAUUGAUUUAUAAGUUUUAUGUUACAUGUAAAAAAAAAAAUAUUUAUCAGCAAUACACAAAUUUACCACUCCUAGUUAAUUUAUUUGUUAUACCUUCUGUUUACAAGAGUUAUGUUCUAUUUACAUAAUUUAUGUUUUGUCUUGUACUUAAUGUUGAUUUACAAGCUCUAUGUUAAAUUUGCAUAUCUAUGUUUCAUUUAAACAAUUUAUGUUUAACUACAAUAUUGAUGUUUUGAUUUUAAUCACAACAUUAUAGAAAGACCCAUAAGCUAAGUUAACUCUAUUGAUCUCCUAUCAAAUAUCGUAAAUGACAUCAGAAGUCAAGUUUAGCUCCUAUGGUAACGAGUGUGAGUAGUGAGUCUAAGGAUGGAAAAUAUCCUGCCAUAUCUAAGAUAUUAUUUAUCCAAGUGUAAAUUCAUAAUUAUCCAUGAUGGAUUCAUCCAUAUCCAUGUCUAGUUCAGAUACUCUAUAUGGAUAUAGAUUUUAUCCAUAUAGAUAUGGAUAUCCAUGGAUGUCCAUGGACAUUAAAUUUAAAUUUUUAAAUUUGAGAAUUGUGUAACAUAUUAAUAUGGUAAAAACUAAUUAACAAUGUAUUACAUCAAGAAAUACUUCUCAUUUUUUUUAUAUUUCCUAAAAUCAUUAAUUUUAAAAUUUAAUCAAAAUUAUUUUGUUUAAAAACACAAUUCUAAAAUAAAAUUACAAGCAUUAAUGUUUUGGCCGGUUGCGCUAUGGUGGGCAAUAAUAAUGGUGGUCAACUAGUGACAAAUCUCAUACCAUUUGUUGAAAAUGUACUGAGGAUCUGGUUGGUUAAUAAGAAAAUAGAGGAAAAUGAGGAAGGAUGAAGAAAAGCUUGAGCUAAAAACUAAUUCAUUACUUCAGAACUUGAUUUCUAUAUUCUUUCUAAUGACUAAUAUAUAUACUCGAUUACAUGCUAGAAUCUAUUAUAAGAUUCAUCUAGAAACUUCACACACCACACACGGCUAGCAAACAUAGAUAACUAAUUGACCACGUCAGCAUAACUAAAGUUUACUAAGCUAUUGAUUGACUACAAUGCUUAUAGUGCUCUGCAAUAUAUCAAGACUCUAUAUCACCAUCAUCAUUACUAAACUCUCUAACAUCCCCCUUCAAGCUAAAUAAGUCUAGAAGAAUAUUUAGCUUGCACCUCAGAUAAUGAAAUUGGCCAUAAUUAAGAGCUUUGGUAAGAAUUUUAGCCGUUUGAUCAUUACUGGGAACAAAGUGAAUGCUAAACUGCUUGGCUGCAACUUUUUCCUGUACAAAAUGAAUAUCAAGUUCAACAUGCCUUUUUUUUUUUUAUGAUACACUGGAUUGUUGGCCAAGGCAAUGGCACCUUAGUUGUCACACCAAAAUAAUAGGCAUAUUGGACAGCUUAAAAUGCAACUCUAAUAACAAAGCUUGUAUCCACAUGAUUUCUGUAGUGGCGAAGGCUAAAGCUCGAUAUUUUGAUUCAGUACUUGAUCUAGAAACAACAUGUUAUUUUUUGGAUAUCCAUGUCACUAGAUUGUAACCAAGAAACAAAGCAUAGACAACAACUGAUUUUCUGCCAUAUCACAGGUCCAGUCAACAUCUGUAAAACACUAAAGAUCCAUAGUACCAUGCUGAUAAAAUUCCAAUCCAAAAUGAAUGGUGCCUUUGAGAUACCUUAGCAAUCUCUUGCAAGCUUGCCAAUGUUCUUCAGAUGUAUUAGAAAGGAAUUGACUCAAUUUAUUCACAGGAAAUGCAAUCUCAGGUCGAUGAAGAGUAAUAUACUGUAAUGCCCCAACAAUGCUUUUAUAUUGUGAAGCAUUAUUAAUAGCAGACCCUGAAUUCUUUGUAAGAUGAUGAGAAAGAGUCAUAGAAGUGAAGCAAGGACUACAGUUAGCCAUCUUAUGCUUCGCUAACAAGUAUGCAAUGUACUUGGCUUGUGACAAAUGUAGACUUUGAGUUGUUUUAGAAACCUGAAUCCCCAGAAAGUAAUUUAAAUCCCCUAAGCCUGUAAGAGCAAAUGUAUGUUGCAUGUUGGAGAUAACUUGAAGUACUAAGGAAGAAUUUGAGCCAGUGAUUAGUAUAUCAUCAACAUAUACCAGAACUAACAAAAUAUCAAAACCAUGUCGUUUAUAAAACAAUGAAAAAUAUGAUCUGCAAUUAAGAAAAUGCCACUGGUUUACCAUAGAAUAUUUAAGUCUCUCAAAUCAAGCUCUUGGAGCUUAUUUGAUACCAUAAAGAGCUUUAGUAAGCUUACAAACAUGAUGUGGCUUGGCUGGAUCAAUAAAACCUUCUGGCUGAGUCAUAUACACUUCUUUUUUAAGAAAACCAUUUAAAAAAGCAUUAUGUAGAUCAAUUUGUCUAAUCAUCCAUUUUUGUAUGCCAGCUAUGCUAAGAACAAUUCUAAUUGUUGAAGCUUUCACAACAGGACUGAAUGUCUCAUUAUAAUCUACCCCUUGAGUUUAAGAAAAAUCCUUUGGCUACAAGUCUAGCCUUUAUAUCUAGAGACACUGCCAUCUGAAUUAUAUUUAAUCUUGAAUACUCAUUUGAUGCCUAUAAUCUUGAUAGGGGAAGAGGGUUGAACUAAUAUCUAGGUCUGAUUUGCUUGUAAGGAGUUAAAAAAACUAAUGUCUAGGUCUGAUUUGCUUGUGAGAAGUUAAAUUCUUCUUGCAUAGUCUUAUACCACUUUGGAUCUGCUAACACUGAACUACAGAAGUGGGUUAUGAUAGAGUAGUAAGUAGAGCUGCUAUAUAGGAUUUUUGUUUAAAAAUCCCAGCCUUAGACCUGGUAAUCAUGUGAUAACUAGAAGGUUGAGUUCAAGGAAAAAUAUGUGGUGGUGAGGGAAUAAGUAAGGACUCAUUAAAGUCAGUUUGAGAAAGUGGUAAAGGUAAAGACUCAGUCUGAUCAUUUAAUGGAGAUUAAUGAAAAGAAUGAGAAAAUUGUGAAUCAAGCAAAAUAGUAUAAGAAAUAGAAGGAGUUACCUGAGAAGUGGAAGGAACUUGUGAACUAUUUGUUGAGGAGGGCGUUAAGAAGACUCGUAUUAGUGGAGUUAAAACAGCAGUUGUGGAUUGCGAAACUAAGCUGGUUGAAUCAAAAGAACUAUGAUAAACUAAAGAAAAAUCAACCCCUUGCUAGUAACGAAAAGAAGUCUCUUCAAAGACAACAUGAUUAGACACAUAAAUUCUUCCUGAAGAGUGUAAGAAUUGGUAUCCUUUAUGAUGAGGACUCUAUCCAAUGAAAAUACAUCUUCUUAUUCUAAAUUCCAGCUUAUGUCUGUUAUAUGGUCUCAAAUAAAGAAAACAAAAGCAACCAAACACUCUUAACAAACUAUAAUAAGGUUUUUAAUGAAAGAGCUUGAAAUAAGGUGAUUCGUUUUGAAGAACAUGUGUUAGCAGCCUAUUAAUAAGAUACAUUGUUGUGUGGAAUGCAUUCCACCAAAAAGUGAGAGGAAGUUUAACUUGAGCUAGUAAAGUGAGUCCAAUAUCAACUAUAUGUCUAUGUUUCUUUUCAACUCUACCAUUUUGGUGAUAAAUGUGAGGGUAUGGAUGUCUGAAAUGUAUCCCAGAAGAUAAGAGCAGAGAAGAAAAAGAUAUGAACUCUCAUGAAAGUCUUAAAGGUUGUAAAUACCCUCAAGGCAUCUGAUUUAGCUGUUAAGGGAAAAAUCCAAGUAAACCUGUUGUAAUCAUCUAAAGUAGACAAAUAAUAGAAAUAACCUUGAGUGGAUGCAGUAGAAGAUGGCCCCCAAACAUCAGCAUACAAAAGCUAUAAAAGUUUAGUUGUUUUUAUGUUGAAAGAGUUAAAAUAUUGAAGAUGACUUUUUCCAUACUGACAUGUAUCACAAAAGCUAAGUAUUGAGAUUUUAUUUAUAUCAGCAAAUUGAUUACAAGAUUUCAAAACACAUUUAAGUGUAUGAACAGCUGGAUGUCCUAGCCUUUUGUGAAGCAAAUCUACAUUAUUGGAACUAGAAGACACUGUGAAAGCAGCAGGAGUACAACACUAAUUGUUUAUUUUGAAAUGAUCAUAAGAAAAACAAACAGACAUAGCAGGACCAAACAGACAAGCAAAACGAGACAUUGGUUUGUUUUGAGCUAAGUAAGAAAAGAAGGCUGAAUUUAAACUUUGAGAUGAGGAAGAUAGGCUGACUUUAUUAGAUGCUGCUUAAACUUAAUACAAGCCUUUGUGAGCCACCCCUUUAACUAGAGUAAUCCAUGUGUUCCUGGCCUUGAUAUACUAAACAUUAUCAACAAAUUCAACAAGAACAUUGUUAUCAAUUAAUAAUUUAGACACACUAAGCAAAUUUUUAGUUAUGUGAGGAACAUGAAGAACAUGAUGCAGUACUAGAUGUUCAUGAGUAUAAGUAUCAAACAAAACAGAUCUAGUGUGUGUGAUUUGUAGGCCUUUGUCAUCACCAAAAAGCAAUCUCCUAAACCAAUAUAACCAUGAGAGUUAAGUAAUAUACCUGAGUUGUUGGUGCCAUAAGCUGAGGCACCACUGUCUAUAUACCAGAAAUGAUCUUCUAUAACUUCAGGUGAAGGAAGAUUAAGAGCAGAAGGGUUAGCAAACCUUGCUGAAAUGUCAGAAACACCAUUCUGGCAAUUAAAAGCUGCUAGUGGAGAGAUUGAAGAACUAGCUCCAGGAUGAGAAAACAUAGAAGUAGAUCCAUAAAGGAUUUAAAUCUGGAUAUACCAAAUUUCCUUGAAAAUCAUAACCUCUUGUGCCAAACUGUCCAUUAAAACCUCUACCAAAUCCAAUAAAGGAUCUAAGCACAAAACCUCUGCUAUAGCCAUAAGUUGGCCUAUAAUUUCCUCUACCUCCUCUACCAUAGAAUGUUUUAGGCACAAAAGCUGGAUUAAACAUGCUUUUGCAUUUAUGUGCUCUAUGUCCUGGCAUAAAACAAAUCUGACAGACUAUUGAUUCAAAAUUACUUUCACUGUUAUUAGGUUGUCCUGGAUUUGUCACAUCUCUAUUAAAACCUUUUUGAUUACCAAAAUUAUUCUUAUAUUAACCUUGAUUUUCUUGAGCAAAAUUUACAGUCAGAUUAUGUACAACAUCAGAAUUAAGCUUGCUUCUUUUUUUUUUCUGUUCAAUCCUCAUCUCAUGACUCAAUAAUAAAUCAUACAAGUCAUCUAAAUUCAUACUUUCACCUCUAGCUAACAAGCUCGUAACAAGUGAAUCAUACUCCUAAGAUUCUAAUCCUAUCAUUAUGUAUAUAACUAGAUCCAUAAGCUCAACAAGUUUCCCAUCGAGAGUAUCAGCUAACCUUUUCAUUUUAGCAAAAUAUGCACUCAAAGUCAUUGAACCUUUUUUAGCAAUUUAUAAUUGCAUUUUAAUUGGCAUAAUUCGAGCUUGAGUUUGAGAAACGAACAUAUAAGUUAAUGAAUCGCACAACUCUUGUGAUAAAGCACAGCGAAUGACUGAAGAUAAAAGACUCUCUUGAAUUGAGGACAUCAUCCAACUGAGUAAUAUCUGAUAUGUUCUGAUCCAUGUUGAGAAUGCAAGAUUAUCAAUUCUUGAUCCAGAUCCAUCAUUUGAUCAGCCAGUUGCACCUGUAUUUUGAUAGAGAUAUUGAUCUGGACAUUUGUUUUCUCUAGGAUAAAACCUUAUGUUAAGACUUUUAAGCCUAAAUCACAACAAGACUCACGAAUCUUGAUGAGUAGAAACACCAAGAACACAAACGAAUCAAGAAAGCCAGAACAAAGAAGCUAUACCAGAAACAAAACAAAGACACAGACCAACAAAUUUAGAAGGAAAAUUUACUCAUUAUUAUUGAUCAAGAACUAACCCAAUCACAAGUGAUUUACAGAAGAUUAUGCACAGAUCACAAUGGAACAGAUUCUAUGCAAAAUGAUGAACAAAUGAAGACGAUAUUAGCACUAUAUCAGGCACCACUCGUUAGCCUCUGUUUUAUAUCAGUGUGUUGGGUUCGUUAUAACAGAUUAUAACGAAUCCAUGCCACGUCAGCAGAAAGUAUCAAAUAGACCCCAUCAACUGAAGUCAAUCUGCACAACAGCUCUCUACCUUUCCAGUUUCUUCAUUUAGGUCCACAUACACAUAUCUUCACACCUUCUAGUCCAUUGCCUUUGAUUGAUGUGAGAACUUGAGUUCUCCAGACAAUGAAAUUAUUUGAUCAAAUUUUAUUGGUGUGACGAAGUUAUAGGAGUUCAUAUUUUGAUUUUGAUUAUUAGAAAGCUCUGAUACCAUGUUGAAAAUGUAUUGAGGAUAUGUUUGGUUAAUAAGAAAAUAUAGGAAAAUGAAUAAGGAUGAAGAAAAGCUUGAGCUAAAAACUAAUUCAUUACUUCAGAACUUGAUUUCUAUAUUUUUUCUAAUGACUAAUAUAUAUACUCGAUUACAUGCUAGAAUCUAUUAUAAGAUUCAUCUAGAAACUUAUCACACUACACACGGCUAACAAAGAUAGAAUCUUAUAACUAACUGACUACGUCAACAUAACUAAAGUUUACAAAGAUACUGACUGACUACAAUGAUUAUCAUGCUCUGCAAUACAUCAAGACUCUAUAUCACCAUCAUCAUUACUAAACUCUCUAACAUUGAACUCAAAAUUUUUUAUCCAUGCAAUGAUAUAGAUUUCAUCAUCAAAUACUAAAUGUGGCGGCUCGAAUGCCACCGAAAAUGGUGGCGGCAACUUGACUCCACCUUCUAAGCAAUUCAAUGAAGUGCAGCACCGCCUAAAUCAACAUCAUUGACGUUCGAAGUGUUUGAUCGACAUUACGGUAUCCAGCACCAUAUGGUCGUUUGAUGCCGGUGUUAUGUAUCCACCACAAUUUUUUGUGGCACUUGUGCCAUCAGUAUUUUGUUUUGACUAACAAGUUUAUGAGUUUAGAAGUAAUAACUGAUUUUGAUAUCUUUUCGAUCAUCCGCCAAACUUCUUCUUCUCUCAGGGGUAAAAAAUUUUGCACAUUGCUAACUAGAUGAAUGGCCAUAUUUUUCUUGUCUUUCUUCAAUACUCAUUGUAGGGUGAAAGUGCCAUUUUGCCAAAUCUUUAAGCAAUUGUAAGAUAGCUUCUAUUGUGCUAGUAGGGUGUGGCCUAGUACAAAAUUGAAGGUCAUGGGUUCUUAAUAUCUCUUUAUCCAUUGUUGCUAAGGUAACUGUUAAAGUCAUGGCUGGCACCGCCCAUUUAAAUGAGCGGUGCCAUGCCAUUCAACAUGGCCCGCCAUUCUUGGUGGUGCCGUGUUGACUUAUUAAAAAAAAACCAAAAUUUUAGCUAUAUAAAGAGGGCUUCCCACCCUCAUUUUGGCAUCCCAUUGAGAGAGAAGCAAUUCAACAUUUUAGAGAGAGAGUUUAGAGAGCUUGAAACUAUAAGCUCUUGUUAUAGUGAUUUGAGAGAUUAGGUGUAUUGGGUAAUGAGAUAAAAUACCACAAUACUUGUAACUCCUUUUCACUAAUAAAAUAUUUUCCUUCUGUCUUCGCCCGUGGACGUAGGCUAAAAGCCUAAUCAUGUAAUUUCUAGUGUUAUUUGUAUGAUUUUGUGUCUCAUUAUUUCUAAAUUUCACUUUAGUUGUGUGUCUGUUUCACCCAUCAAUUUCCCAACAAUAACCACUAGGGUUGGACAAAACCAAGAUGAAUAAGAGGGCCAUAUUUUUUAGAUAGUUACCAAAAUGACACGAGACUUUGAGAAAUAAAACUGGUGUAAGUUGAUGAUAAAGGGGAGCCCUAACGAAAUUGAAAACAACUUUUAGUUUUUUUUUAAAAACGAAUUGUUAACAAUCUACAGAUAUAUAUACUCUCUGAAACCUAAUGGGAUUCUAGAUACAUGUAGUAAAACACUAAAACUCUAGAUACAGGUACGUAAAAUCUACUUUUUUCUUUUGAUGUUUUUACCCUAGAUACAUGAGUUCGAAAAAUAGUUGACGUAGCGAUCGUACUAGUGAACGUUGAAAAAAUGAGCAGAAAAUGAUAAAAUUAGACAUAAAGGAGUUUUAUCGUUUUUCGUUUAUAUAAUUACAUUUAUUCGUUUAUAGGUUGGGAGAACGACUUUCGAGUUACUAAUAAAGGUCUUUGUCAUGUGACUUACCAAGCAAAUAACUUAUUAAAAUGGCAAUUAUUGAUCACUUAAUUUAACUAGUCGAGCUUCGUGGUGAUGCAGGAAGCUGGUCGUCAAGCUGAUCUCAUAGGCUGAGUACAAUCGAAGAAAAUGAAUAAUAUUAUUAGAGGUUAUUUCUGUACGUGUAUAUAUAUUUUUGUCAUUAGAGAGAACAAUAGAUGAAAUAUAUAUAUAUAUAUAUAAGCUUAGAAUAUUAUUCACAUAGACAUCAUUAUUCGUUACACAUAACUAAGAAAACAAAGCCUUGUCCAUCCAAGGAGGUGCCUUAACUAAUUUACAUACUCAUGGUCCUUAGCCAGAAGGAAAAGAUAAUUCUUCUUAUGCACCGCAAUUCCGGGCAGAACGUCAAAGUCCAAGUCUUGGUUCUUCAUUCCAGGCGGCAUUUCCCAAUCAAAUUUGUAAAGAAGAUUGGCAAGUGCAAGUUCCACAUUUGCAGUUCCCAAAUGCAUUCCAGGACAGAUUCUUCUGCCGGCACCAAAUGGUAUAAGCUCAAAGUUUUGCCCUUUAAAGUCAAUAGAACGAUCAAUAAAUCUCUCAGGAUUAAAUUCCUCAGGAUUUUCCCAAGCUUCGGGAUCUCUUCCUAUCGCCCAUGCAUUUACGUAAACGAGUGUUUUAGCUGGAAUUUCAUACCCGUCUAUUGUGCACUUUUCGAUUGUUUCUUUGGGGACUAGUAAGGGAACUGGCGGUUGCAAUCUCAUAGUCUCUUUCACUACAGCUUUUUGAUAAUGUAGUUCUUGAACAUCAUCUUCAUCUACAAAGCUUUUUUUGCCGCCAACCAAAGAUCUAAUUUCUUCUUGAACCUUUUUCAUUACUCUAGGAUGCUUCAUUAGGUAGGUCAUGACCCAAACCAGAGUCGCAGCGCUCGUAUCUGUUCCAGCAACGAAUAUGUUCUGCAAAGCAAACAACAUAUAUAUUUGUGUGUGUGUAUAAAUAUGUAUAUGUAUAUAUAUAAAUUAUUUAAAGCAACAAAAUUAUAUUAGAUUAGUUAUACAGGUAACUAUUUAUAAUAGACUUUUUGUUAAUUACGUACCAUGAGCACUGCUUUGAUGUGAUCCAAAGUUAGGUCAACUUUGAAUCCAUGAUCUUUUCGAAUUUGAAGUAAAACAUCAACUAAAUCCUCCUGCCGCACCUUUGCUUUUGUUCUUUUUGGAUCUAAAUGCUCGUCGAUGAGUUCUUGAUAGAAUCUAUCAGAUUCUUGGAAGUUAUUUUCCAGGCGACGAAUCAUUCCUGUGAGUUUAUCAAUCCAGCCCAUAAAAGGAAAAUAAUCCGUAACGAAAAAGCCUAUAGACAAGGCUUGAAUUUCAUUAAGCAGUGUAUGGAAUCUGCUUCUUUCAGUUAUUGUUUCACUUUCAUCACCAGACCUCUUGCCAAAACCAAGUCUACAAAUGAUAUUGCAAGAAAGAGACAUCAUUAUCUCACUUAAGUUGACUUGUUUAGAAGCAGCAGCUGAUUUUGAUAUGGAUUCAAUCAUUCUUGAAACUUCAUCUUCUCUAAUAGGUCGAAAAUUUUGUGCUCUAUUAGAGUUAAAGAGAUGAAUGACACAUAUUUUUCUAAUCUCUCUCCAAUACUCACCAUAGGGUGAAAAUACCACGUCCAAGCCAUUAUAAGAUAGCUUUUGUGUCGCUACCAGAGCUGGCCUACUAGAGAAUUGAAGAUCAUGGCUUUUUAAAGUCUCUUUAGCCAUUUUUGCUGAGGAAACAACUAGGGUUGGCACAAAACCCAGACGCAAUGACAUGAGAGGGCCAUAUUUUUUAGAUAGUUCCCAAAAUGACACAUGAGGCUUCGAGACGUCAAACUGGUGUAAGUUACCUAUAAAGGGAAGACCCUGGGGGCCUGGUGGUAAUUUAAUCUUUUUCUGAUGAUAAGUGUUUACGGAAAACAAGAAGAGGCAGAUUGGGAGAGAAAGAAGGAUGAUGAUGACAAGUAAAUCCAUUAUUGCUUAUGCUCCCUACUGCAAUGACUGAACCUCGAUCUAUAAAUAAGGAAACAAAAUGCAGUUUAGUAACAUCAUUAGAGGACUCUCUUUGUAUUUUGUGCUCUUGUCAAGUCCUUAUCUUGUGAUUUUGCUUAAGGAAACAGAUUUGACAACUUUCAUAAAAGUCAACAAUGAUAAAAAUUUCCAUAAUGAAAUUUCGUUUUCAGCAGAUCAUGUAUACCAAUUCUUGCGAGUUUUGUAGAACGAAACUUAUCAGAAUCCUAGGUGUGAUAACGUUGGUAAAAAGUCAGCAACAAUCAAAAUUUCAAUAAUAAAAUUUCUUUUUUAGCUAUUUACCAAUUCUUGUGAGUUCUACAAAACGAAAAAGAUUCGAUAACUUUGAUUAUAAGUCAACAAGAAUUGAUUAAAUGGCUCUACAAAAGAGGUUUAGAUACAUAUCCCGAGAAAAAAAUCUAUGAAAUAGAUAAUUUUAUUGAAAAAACGUUGAUUAGAUUAUUGAGAUUACAACCCUACUUAUGUUAGACUAUAAUCAAUCCUAACCACCUCCCCCUCUCCCCCCCCAACACCACAAACAAAAAAAUCCAAUUAAUUAAAAAAAUAGGUAAUUUAAUUCUUUUUACAAUUUUUUUUUGGACAUACAUGAGUUUCCACGAAAAUUAAUAUAUUCUCUUUUUAUUUCCAUUUUAUUUUUAGGGUUAAAUUGGUAAUUUAUUUUUUUAAUUAAUUUCAAAAAAAGAAAUAUUACUAUAAGAGGGUAAUAUUGUAAAAGCCAAUAAAAAGAAACAAAAAGUAAUGAUGGUGGAAAUGUCCCGAUGUAUUUUUAAAAAUACAUAGACUAAACAAGCACUAACGUCAAAAUAUAAGGAUUAAAGCAGUUUUUACCCUAUAAAAUUAUAUAUAUUUUUAUAAUACUAGAUAGAGAACAAAAAUAAUUGUUUCCCAAUCUCAUCUUGAUCUCAAAUGAAAACUAGUGGUAAAAAGUCACUAUCUUCUACAAUAGUGUCUUUUUUUAAAUUAAAAAAAAAAAGGUAAACCUGGUGAGUACAAGGGAAGCUUUAUUUAUUAAAAAGGUUAGGGGGAUAUAAUAAGCCUUAAUCAUUAUGCAGUGCAUAAUGCUAAUAAAAAAAAUGCGCUAGAGCAUUACAAUAAAAUCAAAGAAAUGCGUGAUAAAGCCAACACACAAAGCUUACAAGAAUUAAUGAAACCUAUAAACAGGGAGACUAUUAUUUUAUAAUACUGCCAUGUCAUAUGGCACAUUAUCCUUUUAUUAGAUCACUAAGGUCAUCCUAUAAAAAUAAUGAUUAAUUUAUUGAGGAAACAGAAACUUCAAGAUUGAUAAAAGAUAGAAAAAUACAAGUUUUUGAAUGUUUGAAAUUUUAUAGACAAAAGUCUCAAUAAAAAAACUAAGAUUUUAUGGUCCUUCUAUACUAAUUCUAAAUAACUUGAAUUUUACAAAAAUUAUUAAAUAAACUUGGAUAUUAUUAUAUAAUAAAAUUCUACUAACAGAAAUAAGGAAACAAAAUAAAUAGUACUCAAAUCCAACUCUUGAGAUAGCAAGCUUCUUCCUUGAGAUCUUAUCAAUUUUUUGACUAAAUUCAUAACUAAGCUAGCUUUCGGAUAUGAAUAGAAGAGUUAGGCUCAUCAAAAGCAAGAUAAUGACAAAGAUUUUUACAAUUUUUCUUUCAUCAAUUUCUUUAAAUUUCAUGAAUGUUUCGUGGUACUAAUGAUGUAAAAGUUCUUCUUAUCCUACUACCACAAUGAAAGCUGUGUUCCAAGUUUUUCAAACUACACCUAUAAUAAAUAAAAUUAAAGAGUCAAGUCAAGGCUUGGGUCACGUAAUCAAGUAAUUUUUAAAUGGUUACGUAAAUUGGUAAUAACUGAUAAACAAUUUUUUUUUUAACUGCCGAUAUUUGUUAUUUACGCAAAUAUAUAUGUUUUGCGCGGCUGAUUUAGGAACCCCUGCAAAGUGGUGGCAAGGAAUCAAUAAUCUAAGUUUCAAAUUUCCGCAGCAAAACACAUUUUCUUUUUUUUUUAAUUGAUUAUAAAUAUAAUCAAUAAUCUACAGAAUACAAGAACGAAACUUCUUCUCUCUCUCUACAACUCUCUUUCUCUACUCGAUGACCUCUGUUAAUUAGUCAUGAUGAUAUUUACAAACACAAGCAUAGAAAAACAACACAAAAAUCAAAGUAAAUGUAGGCACACAAUAAUUGGAGUAUUUGUUUUAAACUUAUUGUCAUGUUUUUCCCUAAAAGAUACAAUAAAGUAACAUUUUUUUAAUAUAAAAUUUAUUUAUUUAUCGUUUAUUUUAAGCAUCCAUUAAAUGACCUAAUAUAUAAAGUAUAUAAUUUAUAUAUUGAGCAUAUAAUGUCAAUAUUAGAAUAUAUAAAUGAUAAUUUUUUUAUGAAUUAAAGAUUGUUCACAGUAAUUAUUAAAAUAGAUAUUUCGUUGUGUAAUUCUAUAUCUUUUCUAUUUUUUUUUAUGAUGAUUUUAUCUUGAUCGCGGAAGUAGAGAUUCCAAGUUAAUUCAAUGCCAAUAUAAUGGUUAUAUAAAUGAUUCCAACAAUGAGACCUAACGAUCAUUUCCUUUGACAUCCUUAUGAAAAAAACCUCUAUUCCAAUCUGAAAUAUUUAAAAGCUAAAGUUUUCAUAAAAUGUACAGUGAGGACCAUUAUCUAAUAAAUCAUGUUCAUACAUACAAAUACAAGCAGAGAAAAACAAAAUAAAUAAAUAAAUGUGAGCACACAAUAGUUGAAGUAUUUAUUUUAAACUUAUUGUUAUGUUAGUCCCUAAAGGCAUGCAAUAAAGUAACAUUUUUUCAAUAUAAUAAAAUUUAUUUAUUCAUUGUUUAUUUUAAACAUACAUUAUAAAUGUGGACCAUUAACGAAUAAGUCAUGUUCAUGCUUACACAAGCAUGGAAAUAAAUAAAUGUGAGCACACAAUAAUUGGAGUAUUUAUUUUAAAUUUAUUGUUGUGUUGUCCCUAAAAGCAUGCAAUAAAAUAAUAUUUUUUAUUAUAAUAAUAUUUAUUUAUUCAUUAUUUAUUUUGAACAAACAUUAUUAGACCUAAUUUAUAAAGUAUGUAAUUUAUUUAUUGAGCAUAUAUUGUCAAUCUUGUAAGAUAUAAAUCACAAGUUCUUUAUGAAUAAAACAUUGUUCACAUGUCAUUAAUGAAAUGGACAUUUCAUCAUUUACGUAAUUUUGUAUCUUUUCUAUUUCUCUAGUGCCUAAUUUAUCUUGCUCACUGAAGUGAAGAUUUAAAGUAGAAAAGUUAGUUUGUUGUCAAUAUAAUGGUCAUAUAUAUGAUGCCAACAAUGAAACUUAACAAUCAUUCCCUUUAGCAUCCUUAUAGAAAACCUCAAUAAUAAACUGAAAGAUCUAGAAACUCAAGUGUUCAUAAAAUAUGGAGUGAGGACCAUUAACGAAUAAGUCGUGUUCACACUUACCAACUCAAGCAUAGAAGCACAAGCACAAAUAUUGAAAUAAAUGUGAGCACAGAUUAGAGAUCUAUGAGGACUUCUCUUUAAUAUCUGUAACCGCUGCUUGAAAUCGCUUUAGCGCUGCAACUAUUUGCUACUUUCUUGAAAUCCCAUCUUCAGUGGCACAUCAAUCUUCAAACCCGACUAAUCAUUGCAUCAUUUCAAACCAACUUAUGUAACCAAGAAGAGGAAGAUCAAUUCAAACCCGCUAACUAAUAUUAUGUUUGUGUCGAAUUGACAGGUCUUGUCACAAAUUUUCACCCGACAAGCUAGGGGCCUAUUUGAUAUAAGUAAAUAAAAUCUUUCUUUCCACAAGAAAUUGGGGUAAAAUCGAUUAUCCCGAUGUUAUUACCCCAAUUUAUAAAUCUUGAUUUUCAUAUUAAACCAUUCAAAGUACAUUUAAAAAAUAAAAUAAAGUAAAAUAAAACCAUACAUAGUACAAAAAGGAGGGAGAGUUUAUUGUUUAUUAUUAUUUUUGAAAUAAUUUAUUGAAGCCCACCUGCUUCUUUCUUUGUCAAGGAUUAGUUUAUUAUUUUGGGAUAAAUACUCAUGUAAUCCAUAUAUUUUGAGCUAAGUAUAUACAAAAAAUGUUUUAAGACAUCUUUACUGUUAAAUAUAUUUCACUUAUAUCUUUACUCUCUUUUAUUUUACAAUAAUAUCCUUAGAACAGUGUUAUUGGGGAUAUUAAUGAAAAUAAAAAAGUAAUUUAUCAAAUUAACCUUAAAUGUAAAAUAAGAAUUUGCAUAAAUUUUAUAAUUAUUAUUUUACUUUUAGAAUUAAUUUGGUAAAGUAAUUUUUUAUAAAAUAAUUAUGAAUAAGAUUGUUAUAAGGAUAUCAUACAUUACUUUUAAGUUGGCUAAUAUUAAGUUAUUUUUAAAUAAUUAUUAGUAAGUUUAUUGCACAAGUAUAAAAAAUACUAUUUCUUUGAUCACUACAAGGAAAAUGAAAUUUUAUAAUAAAACUUUUAGUUACUAAAGAUAAAAAAUUAUUCUCCUUAUAUUCUUUACGAUGCAAAAAUAAAUAUCAUAUGUCAAUCCCAAAAGUACGUCAAUUAGGUUCUAGCGACCAAAAUUAUUUUCAUCAUGUAAAUUGUAUAUUUUUGUGAUUUAACUGUUACCCCAAAUUUAAGUUAAAUGCAUCAUAAAUUGUAUUGAAAUUUGUCAAUUUAGAGGUUUAAAAAUGUCAUCAGUGACUCUAUAUCUUUGUCGUUGAAGUUUACGUAUUGCAACAAUAUAUUAUUGUCUCUAGUUAUUGUAAUUUGUGACAAUCUUUAUAGAUACAUUUCGUAAUUAAUUUAGUCUCAAGUUUGUUUUAAAACCAACGUAUUUUUUUAUUUCGCAACUAAUUACAUUGUAUUGAAAAAGUUUAGGUGACUAAUCUCUCUCAUCAUUAAAAGAAAGCAUUUACGAUUACAAUAUUUAGUCAUAUAAAUUAAAAUCUUAUGACAAAAAAAAUUGUAUCAAAAAAAUGUUAUUCUAUGACUAUUUAUUUGCUGCAAAGUAUUAGAGUAAUAUAAUCUCAUAUGAAUUUAUUUAUUAUUUCACGAUUUUUUAUAUCGUACUAAAAAAGUUCAAGUAAAUAGUUUUGCUCCUUGUGACAAGCCGUUAUUCGCAGCUGGAGCAUGUAGUCAUAAAUCCAACAAUUAAUGACAAAAGAACUUCAAGUGAAAAAUGUUAUUAACAUAAGUAUAAUUCAUCACAAAGAAAUCAAAAAUAUAAAAAGUAUAAAAAUCAAUAAUCUAAAAAUAACAUUCCAUUAUAAAAGAAAAACAAAACUAACAUUACACGGAGGAAAAUCGUUGCUGGUGUCAUGAACGCUUCAACUUCGUUAAGUUUGUUCUUGUUCCUUAGUUUGCUGAGACAUACUGCAGUAAAUGAUGACUUCGAACACUUGUCAUUUGCUUCACAAAAUUAAAGAAUUUUCCCAGAAUUGAAAAGUAAAAUCAUCUCUAACAAAGUUUGAAAAAUUUCUCCAAACUCACUAACUUGGCUUCAAUUUCCUUCACCGAUUAUAUUCUUUGUUUUUCUUCUAUUAGUUUCUCUUAGGUAUUUUAUCAACCAAUUGAUCUGCAUAAAAAUAUUAAAAGAAUGGAACAUAGAAUUUCGAUUCCUAAUUUCGCCAAACACCCAAAAAAAAAAAAAUCUGAAUUUCACUUAAUCUAAUCACAACUCUUAAUCUAAUCACAACUAAAGUAAUCAAAAUUAAAUUAACUGAGUUGAAAAUGCAUACCAUCUUCUCAUUGUUAUCAACCUGCACUUGGUGCAGGUCUGUUAAUCUCUAUAUACACAUAAGCCACUCACAGUCACUUGGUGAAUUUCUCAAAAAGCAAAUAUGGCAGUGAUACUCAAAGACAUUUUCCGAAUAACUGCUUCCAAAUUGGUGACCAAUAAGAUCCAAAUCUUCACAAAAAGAAGUAUCAAAACUGCUACUUCUGAUGUUCAAAUCAUUUCCAUCGAAGCAAUCAAAGCUUCAUCUCCUACACCGAAACAACUCAGAGCCUAUAAACUUUCAUUGCCUGCUCAAUUGUGUUCUAAACUUUACAUGCCCAUUGUUUCCUUCUACUCAGCCAAUUGCAAACACCAAGAUUUCCGGAAAAAUUCCGAUUUGUUGAAGCAAUCUCUCGCAAAAACGUUAACCCAUUGAUAGCUUUUUAGUCGACUGUAAUGAUCAUGGGGCUGCAUUUAUUGAAGCUAAUGUUGGCUGUCAUAUAUCAAAGUUUCUUCAACCGCCAGAUAGGGAGCUGCUACAACAAUUAAUCCCACCUUGUCCCCAAUUAUCGAAUUUAGAGAUUUCUGAAAGAGCACUUUUGGCUGUCCAAGUAAACUUGCUCAGCAGUGGUGAAAUGGCAAUUGGUGUUUUUUUCCGAGUGGAGUGGCCGAUGGUUCAGCAAUCUUCGACUUGAUGAAAACGUGGGGUGCUCGUGGGGUGAUUAAUGAUAAUGAUAAUAUUUGCAAUAACAAUUUAGUUUUAGAUUGCACCUUUGUUUCCACCGGUAAAGUUUUCGCAGCAGUAUCAAAUCCCAAGCCCACAAUCUUCCCGCAAUAUUGUGUUCGAAAGAUUAUUGUUUGAUGGCAAGAAGAUAGCACAUCUAAAGGAGAAGGUGAAUAAAGAAUUAGUGGGUAAUAAUUUUGAUGACGGGUUACAAGCAACGGGUUUCGGGGUUGUUUCAGCACUUACUUGGGGUGCCUUCAUUGCUGUAGCUCGUGAAAGAAAGAGGGAAAUUGAUAAGAAGUUGUAUUAUUAUGCAGUGUAUUAUACUAUGAAUUUGCGUAACAAGAUGAAUCCACCAAUAUUUAGUACAAGAAGUGGUAAAACCAAAGAGAAGGGGAAGAGAUGUGAUGAAUAGUAUUGAGUAUUUAGGUUUCAUUAAGGAUUUGUAUGAAGCAUGGGAAGAUUCAAGGUCAUUUCCUUUAAUAGUGUGGUUGGAUUGCCUUAUUAUGAAGUUGAUUUUGGUUGGGGGAAGCCUGUUUGGUUUAGUCUCGGGCCCUUAUCGUUUCCUGAUCUUGCUAUUUUGACAAACUCAAGUGACGGUGAAGGAAUAGAAUCAUAGGCGGUAAUGUCUAAGGAGGACACGGACAAAUUUGAACCAGAAACUAGCAUCAUGGCUUAUGCUUCCCCUAACCCCAGCAUAUUUAUAAGGAAAUAGGCAGCUAAUUGUCUUUCUCUUGCUUUGAAUAAAAAGAAUUGUCUUCUAAUUAGAAUAAUAAUAUGCUUACAAAAUUGAGAUUAUUGUACAAUGACUGUAUCUUAUUAUUAUCAUACUUCUUUUUAAAUAAAAUCAUGUUAUGUAUGCACACUUUUGAUCAAUGAAAAAC
rnacentral:lncRNA from 1 species